UUUUUUUUUAGUUUUUGUUUUUUAGAUCCGGUUAACGAACGUUCGUUCGUUAAUCCGUUCUUCGUUUUUCUUUUUCUCGGAUUUUCCGCGAUUAUUUUCUGAUCGCGAUUUCUGAUCCGAUUUUCGUUUUACUAUAACUUUUCGCUCGUUUAUCGGAAUCAGGCAAUUCAAGCGCCUGGAGUUUCGUCUCGAAACCCUCUAUCCGUUUAACCAACUUAAACAAGUUUUUGCCACUGUAAAAAUUGCCUUAGAUCCAGAUUAGUAGAACAAAGUUGUUUUCUUUCGCCGUUUGACUUUCGUUGCUUCGUUCGAUUUGAUUCUUUUUGCAAAUCGGAGUUCUUAAGUUGAACUUUCUGGUUAGUUCUCUUAUUUGACUUUUACCUGUGCAUUAGAUGAGUACUUAUUGUAUGCUUGUUUGUUUGUCUGUGAUAGAAUACCCGGAGUGCGCCGCAUGUUACUUCGAAUCUCUAGGUUUCGCGGAUCAUCAGCAAGGCAAGUAACACUUUGAUCAUACCUCCUACUACCCAGUUUUAUUGCAUUAGAUCAAUCCUUACACAUUGCAUGAUUAGGAUCUAAUUAAAUUGUGGGAUGGGAAGUAGUUGAGGUAGUACCUAUUACCUGUUUAUUAUCAAACCUUUGGGAGUUACUUCUACGUUUGCUUACCAUUGCUAUUCUAUGCUAGUAGACGCGGAUUGGGUGAGUGAUAUCCAUGACAUAUGUGAGUAUUGUUAAUUAAUGGUUUAUCUAAGGUGGCAACUUAAACACACAUCUGGGUGGAUUGAGGUACCUGGGUAUUCCAGGAUUGCCUGUUUUCUUUUGGACCGCCACCCAGGCUCAAAGGGAUCAUGAGAUUAUUCAUGCUAGAAACUUCCGUGUGCAGCCACAAGCUAUUAUGGGCUCUAGCAUAGUUUACUAAGUCGUGCGAACUCUUACAGUGGUAGACUAGCAGAUGUAGGGGAUGUAGGUGCUACGGUCUACCCGAUCGUAAGGUGCUAGCACUUCUGAAAGACUAUGUCUCGGUCAUCCGUUUCUCAAACACCAUGCAGUGCGAGAUAUCCAACGGAGGAGAUCGAGUCUUGUGGGGAAAAGUGCGCAAACCUCUGCAGAGUGUAUAAACUAAUCAUGGUUAGCCGUGUCCCCGGUUAUGGACAUCUUGAGUAUCUAGUACUUGGAUUAUCAUGUGAAUCUUAGCAUGUUACUAUAAAAUUAAGUUUGAUGGGUUUGUUUAAUGAUGUUUAAUUGGGAUUGAGAAUGCUGUCAACCAUUCUCAAUGUUUAACAACCACCAUGAUAGUUAAAUAAAUUUAUUCCUUUGCAGUAGGGAAAAAUUGGCUUUUCGCAAAACUGUAACCAUAGAGCUUUCCACCAGCCGAAUAUGCAUAUAGAAUAGCUGUUUCAUUCCAUUAGUCUCUAUGUGUUACAUUGCCAGCAUAUUCCAUGUGCUGACCCGUUUUCGGGAUGCAACGUUAAUGUUGCAGACUUUUCAUAUGACGAUUAAGGAGUUUUAGGUCGUGGUUCUAUACUCAGUGAUGUCGUUGGAGUUGAUGGACUCACUUAUCUUCCAAGCCUUUCGCUGUUAUCAAUAUUAGAUGGCCUUAAGCCAUAUUUAUUGUAAUAAGUUCUCUUUUGAGACACUCGAUGUAAUAAGUGUGUGAUUGCUACUCUGUUAUAAAUCUUUCAAGUACUGUGUGAUGUCAGCAUUACUGAUCCAGGGAUGACACCGGAGCACAGAGAUUGGACCGUUUGAAGUCUGGUCACUACAGAGAUGGUAUCAGAGCCCAUGCUGACUGUAGGACACGACCACUAAGCUAAAGACGUAGAUCACUAUCUACUCUCUUCUCUUCUAACUCCUCAUCUUUUCUACUCUUUUAGGAUGGCGGAUGCAAGGAACAAGUUCACGCAACCGGAUGAAGAUACACCCUUUGGAUGUCACUUGAAGGAAGUCACUAGAUACCUGAACAUAGGAGUACCAAGCUUCACCGGAACCUACAACUCCACUUUGCCUAAAGAAGAGCGCUGGAUGAUUCAAGUUCAAGUUCCAGGAAGGACGUUCAUGCCAGUCAUUGAGCCCAUAGAGUUUUCUUUUGAUGCACCAACUUGGAGUCUAGGAAAGAGCAUGGCAGCUCACAUCGCCAUGGAACGCACUGGAGAAGUCUACCGCAAUGAUCUCAAGGAUACUAUCUACCAAAUUUGUGGACGCCGAGAUGAGCACUGGGAGAUGAUCAGCACCAGGAAGGAUAGAUCAAUUGCAGCUUUUAUCCAGGAGUUAAACCAACACAUUCGACGACAGGAGAACCAGAUGUGCGCCGACAUGAUAAACCUGAAGAAGGCAAGGACAAGAAUCAAGGAACUGGGCGACUGUCCUUGUUACAAUUGUUUUCGUUGUAAGAUUUUUAAGUCAAAUGCACGAAAGGUGACUUUGUAUGUUUAGUAGUGUCACGAUCCUUUACGCACGAAGACGACUUUUUGUGUGUCAGUGUUUCAGGUCAAAGGCACGGUUGUCAAACUAACAAACGCAUGACCUGUAAUUAUCCAGGGUCACCUUGGUGUCUCUUUGUGUUCCAAAUGCAUCCAUUGACUAUGUUACCAGGACAGGCACGGUCGGGAUGGCGAUGGAGGCAUGCUUGUGUUCUGUGCGGGCCCACGUUCGUCCGUUGAUUGCGGAAACACAACGUUUCGGCGGGCGUCUCCACGUAUUCGGAUGUGAACGCCACAUGGCGCCGCCACGGAAACCCAAGGGACCGACGGACGUCUCCUCCGGUGACACCGGUCUGGCUCAUCGCCAGAGGCCAGGCUCCGGCUAUUUAAGGCGGACGGACGGCGUCUCGAAACCCUAGCCACACCCUCCUCUUUCUUGGACUGUCCAGAUCCACACCACAGAUAGCGGCGCUCGUAGGCGGCGCGAUCCUAGCAAUGGAGACGGAGAUGGAGGUCUACUCUUGUGCCCCGAACACCAAGAGGGCGAGGCUCGCGCGACCGGCGACGCCUUCCUCUGGUGGUUUGGCCGUAGUGGCUAGAAGCGGCGAGGGUGCCCCUACCGGAUUCGAGGAUCAAGAAGAUCAGUCUGGUCCCGACCGCAUCAGCGACCUACCGGAUGGUGUCCUCGGUGAGGUCAUAUCCCGUCUGUCCACUAAGGAAGGUGCUCGCACUCAAAUCCUCGCACGUCAGUGGCGCCCUGUUUGGCGCGCCGCUCCUCUGAAUCUGGACUGCCGUGAGAUCCUUGUCCCACGUCUUUUUAACCCUCUAGAUCAAGUACAUUUCGAGUUGGUCACCGCGAACUCCGCCACACCGGAGGAACUCGUCCGCGUAACAUACACUGGAACUUUUUUUUAGAGGAGAACAUGUCGGUGAAGAUAAUUCCUAUGAUGAUUCGUACCUUCCAGAGGCCAUCCUCUCCGGGCGUCAGAGUGCAGUUUGCCGCCUCUGCAUUCCGGCAUCCUACCUCGACUGCGGGCACUCCACGGUCGACGACUGGCUUUGAUCCCCAAGACUGAACAAUCUCCAGGUGCUCGAGUUUUACUACCUGUUCCCACCAUGCUUGAGACAACAUGACAUAGGGCCAUUCUCAUGCCCUUCGCUCAUGCCAUCACCACCAGCAUUAAACCCUCAGAUUUCCUCCUCUCUCCAAACCAUCGCCUUUGCUCUUUGCAAGUUACCAGACAAUUAUGUCCGGGUACUUAAACUACCACUGCUCAGGAGACUCUCGCUAGUAGAUGUUGAUGUAUCAGACGUCUCAUUACAAAGCAUCAUCAGCUCUACUUCUCCUACACUUGAGUCUCUGCUGCUUGUUCGGACAGUCAGGCACCAUUCCAUUAGAAUAAACUCACCUAACCUUAUAAGCAUCGGCAUUUCUGGUUACUACGGUAAAAUUGUUAUAGAAGAUGCCUCGUCACUUCAAUGGUUGCUUUGUGAUGGUGAUUGCAAAAAGUUGCGGGUAGUUAUCACCUCUGCACCUAAACUGCAGGUCAUGGGCAAAUUAUCUAAUAUUUUCUGUGAAUCCGGCAUCACAAAUGACCGUAUAAUUAUUCAGGUACUGACUUUCAACAAUACUUUCACCUCCAUUCAUUGGUACGAACAAGUUCCAUGCAAUUCAACCUUUACUCUACUAAUAUUAUGUUUUACUCUACAUGAAGUGUUUGCCGACAGUCAGCACAUCCACAGUGGUUCAUUCUAUCAAGACGUUGUCUAUCAGCAUGGAUUAUGACCUGCACGCAGUUUUUUCCUUGGUGGAACACUUCCGAAGCUUGGAAAACUUGUAUAUCGAGGUGAUGCUUCUCACACAGAUUGUCAAACACAUACCAUGCAGGGUGCAGAACUCCAUUCAACAAAAGGAAAACUUGUAUGUAAUGGACAAAGGUGUAUAUAGUCAUGGACGAGUAUUAGGACAAAACUAAAAAGAAAGAUUUUAUUACAAUAGAGGUUAUAGACUUAUUCCUUCCAGCAGAAUCACUCUUUAUCGAGCUUAACCAUUUCAAAUAUUCAUGUUUAUUCAGGAAAUAGCCCCUAAUGAAGAAAGUCUUGCGAAUGACUGUUCUUGCAAGCACCAUCAUGACGUUCGUUUGAAGUCACCGACGCUGGAAAGCUAUGUUCAAUGUGACAAAAGCAUUUGAUUUGCAACAUUCUUUAUUCUCAAUGCAGCACAGCUGCAGACUAUGAGGAUCAAGUUUCUUCUUCAGGAACACUUCACGGAAGAAUUCUACAAACAGCAACAAGACGUGCUUCAGUGGGACAAAAAGGCUUCUAAACAUGCUUGCGUUAGGUUGUUGCCAAGUUGCAACCACGGGAACUUGGAUCUAAGGCACGCAUGAGCACCUGCAUUUAAAGGAUCCAUUCAUUUGUAAGUGCUGAAAACAGUGCUGGAGUUAGAUGUUCCCGCCACUUUCUGGUUUGGAAUUUACGUAGGUGUGCUGAAACAAUGCCCGUACCUUUUUGCUCAAUAUGUAACCUUACCAACAACGAACUCGGUAUUUCGGUAGAUGGCUAAACGGUCUUUUGCUCAUGCCGUACAUUUCAUUAACUAAAAGGGCUUCAAGUCUCUGCAUCCACGGCUAUGUACAUUUGUGACUUUCUAUGUUUCAGUGAUAAGGGUCACAGGAAAGGGCGUCAAAUCUGCAAAGGCAUCGUGUGGUAUUAUAUAUAGUCAUGCUCGCUUGUACUAGCGUUUGUGUUCCGAAUGAUUCAGUGAACCACGGUUUGUCAGCAAACACACAGACGAUAAUGACUUCGUAGAAAAGUGAUUCGAGACGCACUGUUCUACCUGUCACACAGGCACGACCAUGGCAAACGCACAGUUUGCCACGAACCACACAACGGCCGUGAAGUGAUACGACGGGACACACGCACGCCCAUGAUUCCACGUGCUUUAGUAGCACGUAAAGACAUAAUUCUUUCCCAAGAAAUGGUGGAAACCUAUUGCCAAGCACUAUAUGCAUUUGUAAAACAGAAACGCAAACACAACCGUGACCCGUUGUGUUUGAAAUCGUUGCAUCACAAAAGCAUCGCAAGCACGGUUAUGCACACGAGGUACGGUUAGGCACAGUGCAGGGACAUAAUUGCAGAUGCCACCGCUCUUGCGCAUUUUUUUAAACCACGGUCUUGCAAUCUUUCUGUUUUAGUGUUUCAGUAAUUAGGGUCACAGCCACGGGCGUCGAAUCCACAAAGGCAUCGUGUGUUAUUAAAUAGAGUCAUGUUCACUUAUGUUUGUGUUCCGAAUGAUUCAGUCGACUCGUUCAGACGGAGAAGCACAGACGAGCAGCCCAUGAAGGCAUACUUUAAUAUUAGGCAGGGUCACAAUCAUGCGUUUAUUACGCAUGGUCGAUGGUAUUACACAGAGUCAUGCUCGCCUGCGAGACUCGAUCAGACGAAGAUGCACGGGCGUCUAGCCCACGGAACUGAACCUUUGUCUUACGCACAGCCACGCGCGUUCACUCUAUGAAGCACAGAAUUGCCUAUAUGAGAGACACUGAUUUUAAAAGCUUAUUUCUUUGUAUUUAAAAGCACAGACAUGAAGUCCAUAGAGACACGAUUCUUUCUUGAUAAAGUCUCUGCAGCCACGGUUAUGUGUGUUUGUGACUUUCUGUAUUUUAGUGAUAAGGGUUGUAGACACGGGCAUCAAAUCCACAAAGGCAUCACAUGGUAUUAUAUAGAGUCAUGUUCGCUUGUGUCUAUUUUCCGAAUGAUUCCGUCGACUCGUUUAGACGGAGAGGCACGAACGAGAAGCCCAUGGAGGCAUACUUGAGUAUUUGGCAGAGUCACAUUCGUGCGCUUACUACAGAAACAUAACAGAAUUGGAUUCAGAUGUGAACCCUCACUGUUUACUUUGUGAGGCAAUCAAUGACCGAUCCAAGAGACACUGUCCUUAAAAGCACGGGCAAGAACUCUCUGCAACCACGGUUCUGUACCAAAGAGCCACUGCCAAACGCAUGAAAGUCAUGCAACGAGGGCCACACAUCUAGUACUAGAAAAAGCACUUUAUCAGCUGGUGUUGCUCCUUUUCUACACACACAGUAGUGUGGCUGUGAAAGGCACGUUAUACAAGCAGAGAACGAAAAUCACAAUGCCAGGACAAGGUCAAAAGCAUGGUUGUGAGUCUGCAGUGUCAUGGCUAGAAUCCUCGAGACACAUUUCGGUGUGGCCUGUUGAGUAGAAACUCGGUUGUGCGGUAACCAGAAGCACUACAUAACGCCCCGCAAAAAAGGUUUGGUUCACCGUUGUGGUGGCUCUAUAUGCUUUCAGCUCUUUUCAUCUCGCCUGCUGAGUAAAAAAAUACCUAAACAAGCAAAAUAUGUUAUGCUUACAUUUUCUUUGUUUCUACAACUGCACCAAAUAAACUUACAAGCUGUUUUUUGUAACCACGGUACGAGGACCAGAAACAGUGCAAGGCACCCAUCAGUGCAAGGCACCCAUCACCAUAUAUAAGACAUGCAACAUGCAAGUCAACCAUCAUGCGGCUCUAUCUGCAACACAGGCACAGUUGUACAUCCAUUGUGUGCAUGACAGGUACAUAUAUAAGACAGGCACCAUCGUACAUACAACACAGCACGGUUACACAUGCAGCAUUUUAAAUCUACUUUAUGUCUCUUAACCUUGGUGCCAAAGCAUUUUACGGUCCUUCGGCCAUACAAAGCCGCAAAACCACACAUCUCCUUCAUGACUGCACGCAACACAAAAACAAACAAGCCUACACACGGUGCACAGACUACAAUGGUAGUCUGAUAAAGUUUACAUAAAACCCAAGCUCAAAAGAAUGCAACAACAAAUAACUCCAUACAUCUGGACAACUAACACAAGGCCUGAUUUCAGCAUCCACACCUGAACGAAACCGUCAAAUCCAGGUAUUCAAGACUCCUCUUUCUUAAAUUCGGACGUGCGUGGCUGCAACUUGAUGAUAAUCUAAGACGUGCACAUUUAGAAGCCCUUCUAUGCCACUCCAGAACCCUUUGUUGCUUUUCGUAAAAUACUCCCAUGAACUCUGCGGGAGGGGAGGUAAACUUAAUGGUCAUGGUAUCCAGAUCCUUUGCACUAAGAACAAAGAACAUCGCAAAGUCAGCGUAACUCCCAAAGCAAACAUAAUCUUCCAGCAAUACUAUCUUCAGACAAACGUCGUGAUGUUUGAGAAACUGCCGGUACUUACGACGGCAUUUGUUUUUUUCACCACGAGAAAUCAACAUAAAUGAUAGGUUGAAAAUACUUAACGUCUAUAAAAAGAGAUACAGACCAUCAAAAAACCAAACGCAACAAUUAAUUCUACCACUUCCGUAACAAUAAGUUAGACAUAGACUUGUCUAUAUAUGGAUGUAUACAACAAUAAAUCAUGUGUAGGUACGGGAGCAUUAAUUUCAGUCAAAAUAAAGACAAGCAUUUCAAAAAGGAACGGGUACUACAGAAUGCAAAUUUCUGAAGAUCAUCACCUCGACAAACAAGUUCUCCAGUUUUGGAAAGCAUUGCAGCAAAUCAACGACAAUGUCCACCUUAUAAUCAAUGUAUAUAAGCAAGGUCUUGACAGAUUGACGCAUUGUUGUUAGACUGACUGCCCUCAAACCCUUGAUGAAAAUUAAUAGAAGAUGGAUCACAAAACUAAUAGCAUAAAGGUUGGAUGAAAUAAAACUUGUUUCCUCACAAAUAAAGUUAAGCUGGAAGUAUCACAAAAACUCAAUACCUCAAGACACGUCAGACGACAUGGAUACGGUUCAGAUGCAGAGACAGCGGUUACCUCCAAGUCCUGACUCUGCAUGAAGAAUACAACAAAGACCAUCAAAUUAAUAAAACAAACAUCAGAACAAGUACAGCUCUGUUCCAGUAUUAAGGAAAGUCAGUACCUCAAGACACUUCGAGGGAGACACAAACACGAAUUCACCCAACGUCUCCAGUUUAGGUGCAGAGACAAUGGUUAUCGAACAGUCGUCAACCGGACAAUCAACAAUCAACCGUCGAAGCGAAGGGGCAUCCUCAACAAUGAGUUCCCCGUGUGGACAACAAAUGCCAAUGCUAACAAGGUUAGACGUGUUUAUUGUGACACGACGACCUCCUCUAUUGCAAACAAGUAGGAGAAACUCAAGUGCAGGGCAACUAGAGUGGAUUAUGCUUUGCAGGGACGCGUCUGAUAUAUCAACAGCCACAAGCGAGAGUCUUUUCACCAGUGGUAGCUUAAGCGUCCCAACGUAAUUGUCCGCUAUUUGGCAAAGAGCAAAGCCGAGGGUGUGGAGAGAGGAGGAAAACCGAAACACGGACUCCGGUGCCGAGGGCGUAGUUGAAGUGCAUAGAUCCAAUAGAGUUACCUCUUGUGUCAGAAAUUCUGGGAAGAGGUAAUAGAACUCAAGAACCUGGAUAUUUUUCAAAUUCCAGGAUCGGAGCCUGGCAUCAACGAUGGAGGGCCUGCACUGUAGGUAGCAUGCCGGAAUAGAGAGGUGACUAACCAAGCCAGCAUGGCUAGACAAAAUGGAUUCCAGAAGACUGACAACAGGAUUUCGAUAGAGCCGCGUUCCGAAAUAGCAUUUGCGAACGGGCUCCUUGGUGAAGGCGCACAGAUGAGAUAUGGUCUCGAUAUGAACUUUUUCACCAUCAUUAAAAAGACGAGAGUCAGAGAUCUCGCGGCAGUCAAGAUUCAGAGGAGCGAUGGGCCAUAAAGGACGCCAGCGACAUGCGAGGAUUCGAGUACGGAUGCCAUCCUUGAUGGGAAGACGAGAGAUGACCUCACCUACGACGCCAUCGGCGAGAUCGCUGAUGCGGUCCGCACGACAUCCCUCUUCUUCCUCAUCGGAUCGGGAGGGAGCACGGUCGCCGCUUCCAUCCCCUCCGACGACCAGCACACCACCAGAAAGCGGCAUCGCCGGUGGCGCCACUCUCGACCUCUUGAUGCUACGAGCAGCGCUUUCCAUCUCCACCUUCGUUGCUGGGGUGGCGCCGCCCACGACCAGUGCUCACCGAGGAGGAUUUGUAGAAAUGGAUUAUAGCCUGUCAAUCCACGCGAGACGCCUUAAAUACCCACGACGGGGAGCGGAGGGGUCCAGAUUAAUUACUUCUUCUAUUUUCCUUUCUGACAGGGGGGGCCGGGUUAAGUACUACUCGUAGCAACUCAAUGGUAGCUGACUGCUUGAAACAUUAAAUAGAACCACCGCUUUCAAGGUACAAGAUGCACUGUUGCACACGCAAACUAGGCACGGGGCAUGCCCGUUCGUGUAUUAAUUAUUUACGGCACACACUCAAUAGAAGAAUCUGUUUGACGCCGGAAGCACGGCUCUACAGUCAUCUUGCCUCUACGAGCAGCAAAAUUUUCCACGGACACGUUCACAUUUAAGUCAAUAGAAGAUUCAAGGUCGUGCCUCUGCUUUGCAAAUGAUUCUACUGAAACGCUCCUGUCACGGCUUGUCACGUACCAGACACACGGUACGGCUUGCCAUUGUCACGUACCAGACACACGGUCCUGCCUUUGGCAUUGUGACGCACUGUUCUACGUGCCACACAGGCAUGUACAACAGUUCGUGUCUCUUUGUGUUCUAGAUGACUCCAUUGAAUCUAACACCAGGAGAGGCGCGGUAUGGAGGCCCAGAGAGGCAUGCUUGCAUUUUACGCGGGAUCACAAUUAUCACAGGCACGGGCAUGAAGCGUGUAGAGGCAUGGUCUGUGGUAUUACAUAGUCACGCUAACCUUAGUCUUACGCACAGCCAUGGGCAUUUACUCCGUGAGGCACGGAAUGGGCUAUACGAGAGACCCUGUUUUUAAAAGCGUAUUUCCUUGUACAGCCAUAAGCACGUGCAUACAGCAUAGAGGCACGGGCGUUUACUCUGUGUUUUAGUGUCAAGGGUCACAAGCACAGGCAUACAGCCCUCAAAGGUCUUCUAAUUACAUAGAGUCACGCACAGAGGUUUUCUAAUUGUAUUCACAAUGAGUCGGUGGAUAGGCAUGGUUUAUUAUUACCUGGAGUCACGAUUGUGCGAUUAUUACGGAAACCUAAUAGAAUCGGAUGAUUGUCCGUGUUACAAUUGUUUUCUUUGUAAGAUUUUAACUCAAAUGCAUGAACCGUCAAGUGUGUCAGUGUUUCAAGUCAGAGGUCACCUUCGUGUCUCUUUGUGCUCCAAAUGCAUCAGUUGAUCUAUAACCAGGAGUGGCAAGGUAAAGCUCCUCAGGGAGGCAUGCUUGUGUUUUACGUGGAGUCACAUUCGUGCGUUAAUUGUGGAAACCCAACGUGCGUGUUACAAUUAAGUCACUAGAAGAUUCAAGGCCGUGCCUCUGCUUUGCAGAUGAUUCUGCUAAAACGCAGACAAAACCAAGUGAAUGAAGUGAUGGUAGAACCACGGCUUUUCAAGAACGAGACACACAGUCCUGCCUUCGGCAUUGUAAAGCACUGCUCUACAUGCCACACACAGGCACGGUCAUGAUUCCACGUGCCUUAGUAGCAACAGCAAACGCCAUGAACCUACUGCCAGGCAAUAUAUCCAUUUGUAAAACAGAAACACAACCACAACCGUGACCCGUUGUGUUUGAAAUCUUUGCAUCACAGAAGCACCGCGUGAAGGCACAUGAGGCACGGUUGGACACGCAUCGCAAGCAUGGUUAUUUGAACUACUUACAGUCAUGCAUUCAUAAUAGAAGAACAUGCAUUAGAACAGGUGAGGCACAGUUGCCAUGAAAGCCACGGUUAUGCAGCCCUAGAAGCACGACCGAGAUUCUGUGCUUAAAAAUGUUUCCGUGCCAUAACGGCGGGCGUGACCAUGCAACCGUGAGAGUCACGGUUGAACACUCACCGGUGGCAUGGUCGUGGCUGCCUGUGCCCUUAGGUUAAUUUUAUCUCUCUAUCACGCAGCAGAGAAGCAUGCUUGUAUGCUUACAACAUCCAUGUUUAGAAACCGACGCGGCUGCGGAAAAUAACAAGGAAACCUGUGCCUCUAAUAUUUUCGUCCGCCGAGUAAAAAAUACAUAAAGAAGCAAAAGGCGUUCUUAUUUAAAUUGGUUUUGUUUCUAUAACUGCAGCAAAUUAACUUACAACCCAUUCUUAUAACCACUGCACAAGAAAAUAAACAAUCCCCACCAAUUUCUUGCUAUUUCAUCGCUCCACGUGCAGCCUUGUUUUUGAAUGUUCAACAAUCCAUUCUUCCUUCUCGACCCUUGUGCAAACCCACCCUUCUGCGUAGCUAUUCAACCUAUUUACCUGUAAAAUUAAUAUUCAUACAUAAAAAACAAAGCGAAAGAUUGCGGUCAUCACUAUUUUUUGCUCACGUCCUGUUUAAGCUGCAUUAUUACUGUAACAUCCCAAAUUUUCAAUUUGGAAUGUUAUACAUUAGAUCAUCAAUGCAUAUCAUAUAUUACUUGGGGAGCCCAGCCGAAGCCAGCCCAGCCCCGCGCCGCGAACCCUAGCGCGCCGCCCGCCUGCCGCCGCCGCCGCCGCCAGCGCCGCACUCCACCGCCUGCCGUCGCCGGAGCCGUUGUGCCNNNNNNNNNNNNNNNNNNNNNNNNNNNNNNNNNNNNNNNNNNNNNNNNNNNNNNNNNNNNNNNNNNNNNNNNNNNNNNNNNNNNNNNNNNNNNNNNNNNNNNNNNNNNNNNNNNNNNNNNNNNNNNNNNNNNNNNNNNNNNNNNNNNNNNNNNNNNNNNNNNNNNNNNNNNNNNNNNNNNNNNNNNNNNNNNNNNNNNNNNNNNNNNNNNNNNNNNNNNNNNNNNNNNNNNNNNNNNNNNNNNNNNNNNNNNNNNNNNNNNNNNNNNNNNNNNNNNNNNNNNNNNNNNNNNNNNNNNNNNNNNNNNNNNNNNNNNNNNNNNNNNNNNNNNNNNNNNNNNNNNNNNNNNNNNNNNNNNNNNNNNNNNNNNNNNNNNNNNNNNNNNNNNNNNNNNNNNNNNNNNNNNNNNNNNNNNNNNNNNNNNNNNNNNNNNNNNNNNNNNNNNNNNNNNNNNNNNNNNNNNNNNNNNNNNNNNNNNNNNNNNNNNNNCGAGGUUCGCCUCGUAACCCGUGCCACCGGUUUUAAAAAAAAAACAAUCGGUUUUCCGUCGGUUUUUGUCAGUUUUUUUUUAGUUUUCGUUUUUUUAGAUCCGGUUAGCGAACGUUCGUUCGUUAAUCUGUUCGUCGUUUUUAUUUUUCUCGGAUUUUCCGCGACUAUUUUCUGAUCGCGAUUUCUGAUCCGAUUUUCGUUUUAGUAUAACUUUUCGCUCGUUUAUCGGAAUCAUGCGAUUCAAUCGCCUGGAGUUUCGUCUCGAAACCCUCUAUCCGUUUAACCAACUUAAACAAGUUUUUGCCACAGUAAAAAUUGCCUUAGAUCCAGAUUAGUAGAACAAAGUUGUUUUCUUUCGCCGUUUGACUUUCGUUGCUUCGUUCGAUUUGAUUCUUUUUGCAAACCGGAGUUCUUAAGUUGAACUUUCUGGUUAGUUCUCUUAUUUGACUUUUAGCUAUGCAUUACAUGAGUACUUAUUGUAUGCUUGUUUGUUUUUGUGCGAUAGAAUACCAGGAGUGCGCCGCGUGUUACUUCGAAUCUCUAGGUUUCGCGGAUCAUCAGCAAGGCAAGUAGCACUUUGAUCAUACCUCCUACUGCCCAGUUUUAUUGCAUUAGAUCAAUCCUUACACAUUGCAUGAUUAGGAUCUAAUUAAAUUGUGGGGUGGGAAGUAGUUGAGGUAGUACCUAUUACCUGUUUAUUAUCAAACCUUUGGGAGUUACUUCUACGUUUGCUUACCAUUGCUAUGUUAUGCUAGUAGACGCGGAUUGGGUGAGUGAUAUCCAUGACAGAUGUGAGUAUUGUUAAUUAAUGGUUUAUCUAAGGUGGCAACUUAAACACACAUCUGGGUGGAUUGAGGUACCUGGAUAUUCCAGGAUUGCCUGUUUUCUUUUGGACCGCCACCCAGGCUCAAAGGGAUCAUGAGAUUAUUCAUGCUAGAAACUUCCGUGUGCAGCCACAAGCUAUUAUGGGCUCUAGCAUAGUUGACUAAGUUGUGUGAACUCUUACAGUGGUAGACUAGUAGAUGUAGGGGAUGUAGGUGGUACGGUCUACCCGAUCGUAAGGUGCUAGCACUUCUGAAAGACUAUGUCUCGGUCAUCCGUUUCUCAAACACCAUGCAGUGCGAGAUAUCCAGCGGAGGAGAUCGAGUCUUGUGGGGAAAAGUGCGCAAACCUCUGCAGAGUGUAUAAACUAAUCAUGGUUAGACGUGUCCCCGGUUAUGGACAUAUUGAGUAUAUAGUACUUGCAUUAUCAUGUGAAUCUCAGCAUGUUACUAUAAAAUUAAGUUUGAUGGGUUUGUUUAAUGAUGUUUAAUUGGGAUUGAGAAUGCUGUCAACCAUUCUCAAUGUUUAACAACCACCAUGAUAGUUAAAUAAAUUUAUUCCUUUGUAGUAGGGAAAAAUUGGCUUUUCGCAAAACUGUAACCAUAGAGCUUUCCACCAGCCAAAUAUGCAUAUAGAAUAGUUGUUUCAUUCCAUUAGUCUCUAUGUGUUACAUUGCCAGCAUAUUCCAUGUGCUGACCCGUUUUCGGGCUGCAACGUUAAUGUUGCAGACUUUUCAGACGACGAUUAAGGAGUUUUAGGUCGUGGUUCUAUACUCAGUGAUGUCGUUGGAGUUGAUGGACUCACUUAUCUUCCAAGCCUUCCACUGUUAUCGAUAUUAGAUGGCCUUAAGCCAUAUUUAUUGUAAUAAGUUCUCUUUUGAGACACUCAAUGUAAUAAGUGUGUGAUUGCUACUCUGUUAUAAAUCCUUCAAGUACUGUGUGAUGUCAGCAUUACUGAUCCAGGGAUGACACCGGAGCACAGAGAUUGGACCGUUUGAGGUCUGGUCGCUACAAUUACCUUUUAAUUUUUCUAUUCAUACUGUUCUCCGGUACCAAAAAGUCUCCUCUCAGACCUUUCGUUUCUGAAAAUGGACUGCGCAGAUUCCGUGCCUUGUCCCGGGCUUCCCUGCAUGCAUUCUGUGUGCCUAGCUUGCGUGAUGUUCGAUUCUGGCGUAGAUGCGAGACUUUGGAAAAUGCUCCCUGCUGUCAGUGGGGUCGUUGGAAUUGCUGGCGUCUGACGUCUUCCUCCUGGGCUUGGAGUGCAUUGUCCUGAGCCAUUUGAUGUCCUCGAUGGUGUUGUCGGUGUUGUCGUCCAUUUCGUUGACCUUUCCCUCUUCUCCUACUGCGAUUUCCUCUUUUCCUCUUCAAUCCUCAUCCUCUCCUGCACUUCUGGGUUAUUCGGAUAGUUUGUUUUGUUGUGACCCUUUUCUCGACAACGGCCGCACUUGGUUGCGGCUUUGUAGCAUUUUCCUUUCUUCUCAGAACCAGUUUGAUUCGAUCUCCUUUUUUCGUACCCUUUGAGCCACUCAUGGGAGGGUUCUUGAGAGUUUCAACAAGAAUGCCUGUAUCUGGUUCCUCGGCAAGUGCCGCCAUGACUUUUAUUUUCAUAUCUACCGUACACUCACGCAACACACGGUAUGCCUUCACUUUUCUGCAUGCAUUUGAGCAGAUAUCCGACAACUCAGCAUAAGCGAGGCCGAAUCUCAUAGUUUCAUCGUCUUGUAUGGUCAUGCUAUCACCUUGACUUGUAGACAGAACUUUCACACUCUCUGAUAGAUUCCUGGUCCAUUUGGGGAUGACAAAGGAUUUUGGAAGUUGAUCGAUCAUGCCUGUUUGGUCCAUCACCUUAAGCACAUGGCAGCACUGAGUGCCAUCCCUACUCAUUUUCUUGCAGCUACAACUGUAUAUUUCUUUUUGCUCAUCCACAUCUACCCUGAACUCAGACCUGUCAAAUUCCUCGCCGGGAUAAGGUCUCCACACUUUAUCUCCAGGAUCAAUAAUCUUUUUUAAAAAAUACUGCCUUCCCUUUGCCAGAUCAGAGCACUUGAAGUAAGUCCGGUUCCGUAGCUCCAGCUGGAAUUUCCUGAAAAUUUCAUUUGUGUAUACUUGACUUGCUUGUCUUUCAAUCGGAAAACCCGUCUCUAGUGAUGGCGCCUUCUCUUCUGUUCGGUAUCUUUUCUUGUCAAGCGUGGCGAGGCAAUUUUGCUGAAUCAUGUGAUACGCAUCAACAAACCUUUUUAUAGUGUCCUUGUGGUCGACGUAAUUCUUCCACAUCGAAUUCGUGCUCUCACUGCGAGUGGUUGUUGACGAGAAAGGAUAGAAAUAGUCCUUGAAGUAGGCCGGCACCCAAAAAUUUCGGAGUUCCCAUAGCGUGUUCAGAUGUUUGUUGCCUUCCGCCUUGUGCAGAGAAAUUGUUGCUUUCCAGGCAUGCUCAAACUCGUCUUGAUCUAGUGAGUUUUUGACGAUUCAAAAUAUAUCAUCAGACAUCCCUGGGUGCUGCGCAAACACUGCUGCAUUAUUUUCCUUCGGGUUCUUCCUAAUAUGCCACCAGCAGAACCUGUGCCUCGUCCUCAGAAGAGCUUCCUUUAUUGCAGUCUUCAUCACCUGGUCCUGGUCUGUAAUUAUGUAUUUCGGCUCUUUACCUCCCAUUGCCUCGACAAACAUGCUUAGGAGCCACUUGAAUGACCCUAUUUUCUCAUCCUUCAAAAGGCCUACUCCAAAUAGGACGGUCGACCCGUGGUUGUCGACACCUAUAAUUGGUGCAAAUGGCAAGCCAUAUAUAUUCGUCGAGAAUGUGGUGUCAAAAGACACGAAAUCUCCAUAUAGAUCAUAAUUCAUCUUACACAAGGAGUCUGUCCAGAACAGGAUGUGCACUACAUUGUUCUCUCUCUCUUCCACAUGGUGGAAUCCCGGCCUCCGCCUCUACAUAUCAGCAAACAGUUUCAUGGUGUCUGCGAUAUCAGUGCCGCGCUCUCCAGCCCUGUCCCGGCAUGCAAUGUUGCUUAUGUCAAUCGUGUCGAACAUAAUUUCUCGCCUCGAUUUCCCCAUGGCAGCAAAAAUCUGCAUAACCUUCCUUGGUUCUAACCUCGCCUUCUGCAUCACUUGUAUAAAGAAUUUCUCCUGAGGUGUCAUCUUCUUAUAGCAUCUCAUGAACUUCGGCAUCCAAUCAGAUGGGUGAAGCUCGUGGUUGUGCUCUAGACGCACGUUCUUCAGAUACCAUUUCCUCCUAUCUGUAUCCCUCUUCGCUGUUAUUUGGACUGGGCAGCUUGUCCGGAUCAAGCAGUUUCUCCUUCUCUCCUUAACAUGUCUCUCAGUUGUUUUAUUCUGCCCUUCCUUGGUGCACUGAAAAACCUGCUUGUCAAGCUGCUGAUCGUAUGUCGAUCAUCUGCUCGUUGAUCGCUUGGCAGCAAACCCAACCUUUCUAGCAUAUCUGCAGAAAAAGAAAAAGCACUCAUCCAAUGAUCCGAAUACCAUACCACCUUCUGGUUCGACCGCUUCAGUGACCUCCUGAAUCAUUGGGUAUAUGAAAUCUUUAAACAUGUCAUCCAUUUCUUUCUCUACAAUGGUCGGUGGCGCCAUGAUGAUUCUGUCUACCGUGUCUUCGUUCGUCUGGUCGCAUUCACUUCUAACGACAUCAAUCUCAUCACCAGCCACAGGUCCACUUACAGUGGAGCUACUGCUCUGUUGUUUGUCACGCGUAGCAGAAUUGUUUUUGCAUGCCACGGCCAAAUCCAUAAAUGAGUCUGCCUCUCCAAUGUUGGAUUGUGCAAUGCUACUCCAUGUUUCUCCAGCACUCGAGCAACCAAGGGACUGUGCUGCUUCUACCAUGCAAUUCGUACUGGCGUUGUACGCUACUUGCUGCUGUGAACGUUGCGUUUCCUUCGAAAUGGAUGGAGAACUAUGACAUUUCUUCCCCUCAUCUGCUAUCCCCUCCGCCAAAUCCUGAACACAUGGCAAGAAACAAAAUUAGAUAUCCAGAGCAGCAUAUGCAUUAUUUUAAUUUCUAAACAAAAGAUUUAUAUGACUCAUCAGGGCUCAUAUUGUAUACCAAAACCAGACCCGUGCCUCUUCACCGAGUAUAAGCAGUACACCAGAGGCACUGUUCACAUCACGAAUGUGACCAUGCUAAACACACAUCUGCACAAAGAGGCACAGAUGUGCUUCUGUUUACACCAUACAACCGGAGACGCACAACAACAACCUAUAUAAAAUAACAACUGCGCAUAUAGCCGUACAAGACAGACAGCCGUCCUCCUGUUUUCCAUAUUACCCUGUUCUCCCAUAAAACUGUUUGUGUGUUGAAUUGAAAAAGCAUAGUUCCGACAUCACCUUUGUUUUCCCAUGCCUCUCUUGUCCAUCAAAUUUUGGCGACAACCUCCGUGCAUUGGUGAUUUCGCUGACGAUUUUUAAUGCCAUCAGAGAUCCUUUGGAAGGACCCCUCAUGUUGAACGCCACAGGUGAUGCUUUCAAAGGACCUUGCCUUAUGUUUUCAUCAAUUCGUGGACUACCGCGAUACUUGCUUCCUUCCUCGUACACCUGCGUGUGGAAGAUACUGCAAUUUAAAUAUACCAGACGAAAACAAAGAAAAAAUUACUCACAAAAAAUAUAAAUUUGCUUUAAAUGUUGUUGCAUGUUCGUAUAUGCUGUCACCUAUAUUGCUUUCUGAUUCUGCUGUAUGGUAGAGCUUAUUGCUCCUAUGUUUGAUUUUGUUAGGCUCUUCUUGCUUGUGCAAACCAUACCGAAUCCUUGAACACCAAUGCUUUUGUUGCCAAUGAUCCUUCUGCUUGCAUCAAAGGAAAUUUUGUUACCCUGCACCUCUUCAUUAUGACCGUCUACAAAUGCUGCGCCGUCACAACGCCCGCUCUGCGCCUUUGUGGGCAUCUGCGUCUUCAAACCAAAAAAUAAUUAGAAGCACAUGCGACUAAAACUUCCACAUACAUUAAAACCAGCGUUUGAAAUUUUCGUCUUUACCUGGACAAUCUGCUUAGAGGAGUCUCUUCUGCUUAGAAUGCUCCUCUUGGCAGGUGUCUGUUGCACACCAUGCUCCUGGUUGGGGCGUUUGCCAAGAACUUGUAUCUCACUCUUGACUCCAAUUAUUCCAGCCCGCAUGGCAUGUGCGUGUUUGACAGCAUCUGCAUCCUUGAUCUUCUUCUAGUUUUGUAGUAAAAAUAUUUCUUCCACCUCUCGAUACUCAACUACAAAGUAGAUGCACAUGAUAAACAGAUAUUACAGCAUUCAUCUAGGAUAUAUAAAUCAUUUUUCUUGUUGUUAAUGAUCUACUAUUUGGUGUUCUCAGUGGUGACACCUUAACAGCAAACGUCCCAGGAAUAAAAGACCAAACAGUAAUGUUCAACUGCCUUACUAUUACCUGCCUCCCAUAAUCCUUGCCGAUGUCGUUCAAAGACCGACCAUCCCUGUUGUCCUAACUAGAUGACGCACUCCUGAACAUCUGCCCCGAAAAAGAGACGUAAAAAAUAUAAAGGUUAUAAACCUGCAGUAUCAGUGUUAAAACUUUUCGAAGUCGUUAUCAACAGAGAUAUAUUUUUAGUUCUAUGUAAUUAACAAAUAUAAAUAUAUACAUAUAUUAAUUUUUCAUUAAACUACAACCUCAACCAAAGUGAGAUCCUCUCAUGCUAAUUUGCUUGUGCAACACUUGACACAAAGAUAACCAUGAAACCUAACAAAAGUAACAACCUCGUAUUACAAGGACGAGAGGAUACAAAACAAAAAACAAAUUCAAAUCAAAGCUACAGUGUAAAACUAAACAGUUUUAUUCUAUGAAUCCCGACCACAACAAAUUCAUCAACGAAUUGAAUCUCGUGUAUCAGGAAUCGCCACGCAAAAGGUGCGUUGAUAAAUUUUUUACUAACCUUUGAUUGCCGAAUCUUAUGCGUUGAUUGUUCGGAAGUCACACCUUUCUAAAUUGUGGAGGGAUCUGCUUCCCUGCAGUUUGUCGGUGAUCCCCUUCAAUGAUUUUGAAUCUCAGAGAGAGAGAAAAGAGAAAUAGAGAGGGAGAGAGAGAGAGAGAAAGAAAGAAAGAAAGAAAGAAAGAAAGAGGCUACUUCAUUUUUUGCAUGCAGGAGAAGAAUAACCUGAUAGGUGGGGUGAGUUUUGCGACGCAUGAGAGAUGGGCAUGUUUUUUGGGCGUGACGAGAUGUGGUAGGUCGACUUCACUUGACCGUCCACGACACUGACAAGUGGGCUCUCAGUUACUAAUUCCUCUAAGUCUCUCACUAACUUGUGGGGUCGGCCUUAUAUGAGUCCUACGAGGAGUACCUCCAUCUGAGGUGUGAAAAUGUGGUAGGUGGACUUCAAGCUCAUACUGACAUGUGGGCUCUCAAAUAGUUCCUCCAAGUAUUUGACUAACUUGUGGGGUCAUCCGUAGAUGAGUUCCAGAUCUCUCUCCAUCUAGCAUCGGUGGCGACAGGCGAGCUCUCCAAAGGAAAGCCAAUCCUGAUCCCUCCACAGAGUUCGCUCGUCACUGAAAAAAUUAUCGGUCUCCUUCAUCUCACUCGCCGUGGAUCUCCUGUUCAGGUAAUCCAUUGCAUUCUCACCAUGAUUAUGCCACCGAUUCAACAUUUGAACAAAAAAAAUUACUGGUGCUAGCAAUUCCGCGGGCUGCGUACACACCGCAUGUGCUCAACACAGCAGGUGGGGCGCGAUUUGAAUAUCGGUUCCGCAUCCAAUUAUCUCUAGCUGGUCCGUGCUCAAACUGUUGCGCCGUCUUAACAGCAGAGGGGUUACGGAUUUAAAAUUAGGACUCAGCUAACCUCACUUUAACCAUGCAAACUGCAUGCUUGUGCCGUGGUUUUGCUAACUUGAGUUAUAUCUCCAGCCAUGCAAAACUUAAGCACUCGUCUUAGCUAACCAACUAGAGACAGGUCAAAUUAUUUGUAUAGAUCCGCAAUCUAUAGCAGAGAUCCAAAGGAUUUACGUCCGUUUUUGCAAAGCAGUUACUAACUCAGAGUUAGAACCCGUCUUAGCUAACCAGCCUGUUGAUGAUAGUCUCACAUGAACUGCUAACAAUUGUCUUACAUAGCUGACCUGAUAACGAUGACGUCUCAUGACCUCUUAUGUAGAGUUCGAUGAGAUGGAUUCCACCCCACAGCUGUCGGAGACUCAGUCUCAGUCUGUCGAUGGCACGGAAAUUGUCACCCAAGAUUUCAUGGUUCAUGACCAACUAGAGACAGAGAGACUAAGGAUCGAGUUAAAACCUGCAGCGCACAAAAAGCUUAUUGAGGAGUACAGGACAAAGAAGCAGCUUGCUGCCUCGAAGUAGGUGUUUUUUAUCAUGCAUCUCGCGUGUGUCGUUGAAAUUUCUUUGGAAAUCAAUGCCUCUCAUUCUAGCUGCAUUUUUAAUCAUGGCUUAAAUAUUUAUCUCUAUUUUGCCGAGUCGGCGUUUAUAUGUAAGCUUCUGCCAGAAAAAGCAUGUGGUUCAACAAUAAAUUUGCUAAAGGUCAUUUCUUAUCUCUAUCUGCAGAGCUGCUGCAAUGGGUGAAUACGAAGAAGAAUUCAGCACAAAACUUAGCUUCCAGAAAUUCAUUUCUGUCUGUGAAAAGCUAACAAAACCACAAAAACAGCUAGUCAGAGAUAUUGGUUUUGGGUACCUACUAGAUCUAUGCUUUCGCGAGCUUCCAAGGUGUUUCGUUCGCUGGCUUGUCCGCUAUUUAGAUUGCCCUUCCAGGUGUUUCAUGCUGCCUAGUGGAUAUAGAUUCCUUAUCAACUCGUACACCGUGCACCGGAUCUAAGGAAUUCCACUGGGCGGGCACAUUAUCCCUAGAAAAUGCUCAGAAGCUUUCAGAUGUCAGGUUAAGUCUGAAACUUGGUGUGCUGGGCAUGCUCCAAACAUCAGAGAGGUAACUGAUCUCAUAACCCCAGAGCUGACAGGAGAAGUGUUUCAACGGGUUUUCGUGAUGUUUGCAACAGCGGUAUUUCUAUGCCCAACGACAUAUGAUUGCGUUAGCCCCGACUAUUUAGCCGCUCUAGAAGGACCAGCAAGUAACAUAUCAUCAUAUGAUUGGUCCAAUGCUGUCACAGAGAAAUUGGUGACAUCACUCCAGACCUUCAAGGACAAAGGAUUCACAGGCGCCCUGUGUGGCUGCCUCCUGAUACCAGUGGUUCGUUCACUAACUUGAACACUUCUUUAUACCCACAAGCAGCUACAAGAACAUGAUUAAAUUUUACCUCUUCCUCACUUGCAGAUAACGUAUUUUGAGUACCUGGAUACGAAGAUUAUGGACCUGGAACCUAACACUCCUGCAAGACUUGUCAUGUGGGACACAGAGGCCAUUAAGAAUUAUGCUAACAUAGACAGCCUGUCAACGGAGGACAGAAUUUUUGGGAAACACACGGUGAGUCAACUUUUCAUCAUUUUCCUUUGGCGAACUUUUCGACUCAACAUAAUGACUUAGCUGCCAUAUAUUAACUUGACUUGACUGUAAUUUUUUCCUUCCACAUGACAGCUGAAAGACAUUAGGCGCACACCUUUCCAACCACCGCCUGGCUUUCAGGCGCCAUUUUUUCAAAUGAGUCCCAGACUAGAAGCAUACAUAGAAGAAUUUGUGCCUCAAGAAAAACUUUUUUCCGUAAGUGAUUUCCAGCUUCUGCACAUGAUUUUAUGUUUGAAAUGAUGUUCCCUAAGUUUUUGUGAAACAGAUACAUGUCCUAUUGUGUUCAUCCAGACAGUUUCCUAUACUACGUUAGUUGUGCUUUUGUGUUAAAACCAGAAGUGCUUCCUAUAGGACGUUAGUUGUGCUUCUGUGUUAAAAACAGAAGUGCUUCCUAUAGUACGUUAGUUGUGCUUUUGUGUUAAAUAUAAAAGUGCUUCCUAUAGUACCUUAGCUGUGCCUUUAUGUUAAAACCAGAAGUGCUUCCUAUAGGACGUUAGCCAUACUUUUGUGUUAAAUAUAGAAGUGCUUCCUAUAAUACGUUAGCUGUGCUUUUCUGUUAAAACCAGAAGUGCUUCCUAUAGGACGUUAGUUGUGCUUUUGUGUUAAAAACAGAAGUGCUUCCUAUAGUACGUUAGUUGUGCUUUUGUGUUAAAUAUAAAAGUGCUUCCUAUACUACGUUAACUGCGCAUUUGUGUUAAAACCAGAAGUGCUUCCUAUAGGACGUUAGCUGCACUUUUGUGUUAAAUAUAGAAGUGUUAUACUAUGUUAGCUGUGCUUUUGUGUUAAAUAUAAAAGUGCUUCCUAUAGGACGUUAUUUGUGCCUUUGUGUUAAAACUAGAAGUGCUUCCCAUAGGACGUUAUCUGUGCUUUCGUGUUAAAACCAGAACUGCUUCCUAUAAUACGUUAGUCGUGCUUUUGUGUUAAAUAUAAAAGUGCUUCCUAUACUACGUUAACUGCGCAUUGGUGUUAGAUAUACAAGUGCCUCCUAUAGUACGUUAGUUGUGUUUUGGUGUUAAAACUAGAAGUGCUUCCUAUAAUACGUUAGCCGUGCCUUUGCGUUAAAACUAACAGUGCUUCGUAUAGUAUGUUAGUUGUGCUUUUGUGUUAAAACAAGAAGUGCUUUCAUAUAAUAUGUUACCCGUGCUUUUGCGUUAAAACUAACAGUGCUUCCUAUAGUACGUUAGCUGUAAUUUUAUGUUAAAACUAGAAGUGCUUCCUAUAAUACGUUAGUUGUGCCUUUGCGUUAAAUAUAGAAGUGCUCCCUAUAGUAUGUUACCUGUGCUUUUCUGUUAAAAAUACAGGUACUUCCUAUAGAACAUUAACUGUGCCUUUGUAUUAAAUAUAGAAGUGCUCCCUAUAGUACGUCAUCCGUGAUUUUUGUGUUAAAACUACAAGUGCUUGCUAUAGUACGUCAUGUGCCUUUGUGUUAAACAAAGAAGUGCUUCCUAUAGUACGUCAGUUGUGCCUUUGUGUUAAUUGUAACACUGCUUCGCUACGACAGGAGAUCAACCAUGCUUCAUAAGGUAGGUCGACUGCGCUCUGAAAAAACUCUUGGAGGAAACAGCAAAACCUACUGCAACAGAAACAUCAGCCUCACACUCUGCGGUUGACAAACAAUUACUGAAUGAUCCAAUCCUAGCAGAUACACUUGGAGCACCUGUUUAUCACGUUGGGAAAACAUCACCAACUACUGCAUGGUCCAGCGGUUCUGACAGCGCUCACAACAACUCUUCAACCAACACAAAAAGCCUCACUGUAUCCCAGCCUGCACAAAAAUCAAACAAUGUCACUGGACAACGUUCUUCUUCGCUACAGGAAGAUAAGGUCCAUCUUGUUUCAACUUUGAGUGACGAGAAGAACAUUGCUGAAACAGAACGCACAAGAGCUACUUCCUCCCUUCCUCCUAUAGUAGAAGUCCCCAGUGAUUCUGCCAGCGGCUCUGGCUCAGUACUGGACACGGGAAAAGCAAUUCCAUCCACUAGUGAUGCUCCACUAGUUGCUGCACCAUCUAUCAAUGCAUAAGACAAUAACAUUGCAGAAGAACAUGAACAGUGUACGAAGCAACCACCUAUUGAUCCCACAAACAGUGUCCCUAUUACCACAAGCGCACAUCCGCCAGAACCAGAACCAGAAAUGGCACCUCACAAGAGGUCCUUAAAGCAGUCAGAAGAUCCAGGUAACAAGAGUACAGCGCCUCCUAUGAAAAGAGUUAGGAUACUGGAGCCUCCACAAAAUUCAACAGAAACUGCAAACAACCAGUCUCUACAAGCUGACAACCACAGAAGCCUCCUUAAUUGUGGAUUCAUUGAUGAUGAUCAAAUAUGAUCUGACCCAUCUAUUUAUGAACAACUUGACAGAGUCAUUGAACAAAAAAAGAAACAACCCUUUCAUAACCAAGUAGCAUCACAACAAUGCCAACCUGAUACUGUCCCACAGUUGGCCAAUAAUUCAAGCUCGUCAGCUAGAUCUUCCCUUUCUAACUAUCCAGAGCCACCUAUACCCAGCAGAUCAGGAUCAAUGUCAGGCGGUAGCCACCCCACACAGGCCUUUGAUAUGUCAUACUCUACAGGUUUAACUCAAACUGUCUUGUCCCAAAGUUUACCAGCAACUCCCUUGUCCCAACACUGCAACCAACCAGCUCCUAGUAUCAAAAACCAGUUCUACCGACAUCCUGGUGCUCAGAAUAAUGACGGUUCAAACAAAAGCCAGCGCUCACCAUAUGCGUGGAACAACCAAAGUCACAAGCAGUACCAGCAACAAACCAAUGUCCGUGAUGCCCACUACCCCCAACAAAAUGAUGCUCAGAAUAACAGCACUACACGGUGCCAACAACGCCACCCUCAAGAGCAGAACAAUCAGCAACCACACAGAGGCGGGUCUAAUGGGCAAACUUACAGUGCCAUGCAACAACAGUUCAACAGCAUGCAGUAUUCCGCCAUCCUCUCCAGCACUUUCCAACAGAUAUUCCUUCAAGCUCAACCGGUAAUCCAACGGUGAGAACAUUAGAACUGCGCAUGCAGCACCAACCACAACGCCUAAUGUUCCAAAGAAACAACAAUUAUAAUGAGGGUCGUCUCCAAAUUAGUAAUGGUCAAUUGAACUCCGGUGGUCAUGUCUUCCAGCCUCACCAACAACAUUCUGAGCUAGAACAGACUCGAUUCACUGACCAAGGGAAUGACCAUCAAGACCACUGCCAACUUUUGGAAAUAAGAGAUUCCACAAACGAGGAGAAAGAAGUGUAUGAAACAAUCAUCGACAAUACGCCAGGUGUCAAGAAAAAUGAAAGGUAAUGAACUCAUUGUUCCUAUUACAGUAAAGUUUUGGUCCCUUCGUUUAAUAAUGCUAAUCAUUUCAUCUUAUCUUUAAAAAUAAAAUCUUACGAUUUAAAAUUCAUUUGUUUUUUUACAGCAAGAGGAUAUUCUCCGUCGAUCACGUUGGGCCAAUCAUCGAACUUUAGGUUUGUCAAUGAAGGUAUACGGAUAUAUCCACUCAUUCGUGGUCGAUGCUUACUCAGCGUUGCUGAUGAAAGAACAAUUCUACGCAAUGCUAGCAUUUGUGCACAAGCAUAUAAUGUACAUGGACGCUUCUGUAAGUUCUUGCUUCUCAUAAAUAAUAAUAACAAACCACAGUUACUACUACUACCACACUGAGUGACACAGCUACAAUUUUCUGCAGGAUAAAUUUAAAGUUCUAGGAGCAAGCACAGAACUACUCAAGGAACAGAUUGUGGAAAAACUAUUGGGUACAGACUGCCCAACAAAUGUAACAUCGUGAGUUCACCCUACUCACUCUAUCUGCCCAGUGUUCCUCUUUGAUUCUACAAGUUUUUCUUGUUACAAUGAUAUUAUUCCCUGUCAAUUGUUUUAGGUCUUAAUACCUGUGAGAACGGAUCCACAUUUUAUCUACCUCAUCAUCGUGAAUCUUGCAAUGCAUCGCUUCGAAAUUCUAUGUCCUUAUAUCAAUUGCGACAGUAUAAAGGAACACUCGGACAUUGUCAUCGAAAACUUCAAGAGAGCUUACCAUUCUUCUUACAACAACUAUCCUCACACCAUGGCCUCCUUUCAUGUCAAACCUGUGCAGAGUGUAUGUAACUCAGACAGAGAGUAAGUUUCUUUUAUCUGUAGCUCUACCUCAUUUAAACCAUGCAUCUUUUUGUUCCACUACACAUCCCAUAACUACUGUUCACCUUCUAAUCACAGACAUUAAUGCUCUCAAUUUUCAGGGAUGAUAGUGCUAUUUACACCAUGCAUUUGAUGCUGCUCAUUAAUAUGAAUAAUAAUUCAUUUUUUAUCAAUAAUGUAAGUUCACUCUCAUUGACAACACAUCAACAUACGUUCAUCCAAGCCAGCUGAACAUUAAGUUUUGCAAUAAAUUUUAUUAAUUUGCAUGGUUAUGUGUUUGCAGAUCCAUGUGAAACCGAUGAGAGAACAACUAACUUACAGAAUGAUAACAUCCAACCACAACACAGGCCAUGUAUUUGAGGCACUGAGCAUCAUCCUCGACAAGUACAAUAUCCGGCGCGAAAGAAGAAGAGUUGGAAGAAGAUGACUACUGCUUAAAUUAGCCUUAAUUUAGCUGGAGCCAUCCGAACAUUGUUUCAGCCAGCCAUAUCGACUCAUAUGUAAUCACAACAAUGUUUCACCUAUUUUUGUGUCCGUCCAAGAUAUCUGCUAUGGAUACAGUAAACACAGCUGUGCGUUCAAAUGGUCAAGUCUUAAAUUCCUGAACAGCAAACAUUUACAAAUAAGAAUCGUAUUUUUGUCCAAAAGUUCUAAACAUGAUAUUCAACACAUCACUUCCUUGCACUAGAACACCACUCACUUCAAUAAGACAUAAUAAAAGAAACAAUUGAAACACAGAGGAAAAACACUAUCAAUACGUAAGCAUCUGACGAAGGAGCUAAAUGACUCACCUCCAGUAAUCUGGAUCACAGAGGCACUGUCGUGCCUCUUAUCCACGUAGAACGUGCCUCUCUAACCAUGGACAACUAAGCUGACACACACAAGUGCGCCACCAGUUAACACAAGACCGUCCCCUGUCUACAGCUUAACACCGGUCCCUCCCCAAGCCAAAUGAGUCAUGGAAACACGGCCGUGACUCAAGUUAACGAAAUAAGAACCAUCCUCUAUGAUAAACGACUAAAACUAAAAAAUACCAAAACAGAAGAACGACCGUGACUUCAACUGUAAAAGGUUUGUGACCUCACAAGUUUCAACGACGAGUCUCUCUCAGCAAAUAAGUGAAAGCAAACGUUUCGAAAGAAAGGCACGACCAUGCCUUUGAGUAACAUCGUAGACGUGCCUCUUUGAGCGAACGUGUAAGAGAAAGCAUUUGCGAACAACAGACAGAACUCUGACUCAACAUAACAUAGCACAUACCUCCACUAACUAAACAGCCGUGACUUCACUAACAGAAUAACUAGGAAAUAUUACAGAACAUACAACCAUGACAGUGACUCAUACUAACAUAACGCAGUGCCUCUCCGAAUUUAAUACCGAAAGGAAAGAUAACACCUCUACCAAACAUACGACAAUGCAUCCAAUGCCUUCACGGCCAUGCCUUUCAAAAUCAAAGUACCACCACAGUAAUAGAAAGACAAACGCAACUGUCGAUAACACAAUACUCCCACAGCAAGUAUCACACUGGAUUACCGUGCCUAAAACAGGGAACAUAUACUGAAACAGACAACAUAUAUUGAAACAGACAGCAAAGUGAGAAAAUCUGAAGAAUCUUAAACACACUCAAGCUCUGCAUAAAACCAUUUCAAACACACAACCACAACCAUAUAUUCAAUAUAAAAACAACUAUGCCAAACACAGUACAAACACAAAGGAAAAGUAAAGCCCCUACCUGUCAGUGAAGAAGCUAGCAAACUAAUAAGACCAGAGCGUGCCUUGCCUGAAACAAAAACAAUGCCUCCCUGAACAAACGACUGUGCACUGCCUAGAAUCACGAGAGUGCACAUCUGAGUGCUCCUCUUAAUACAUCUCAUCUUAUACCAACUCAUAGCAACAAAUCAUAGAGGAAAAUAUUCUUGAAGACACCCAAUCAAAGAAAACAAAAUGGAACAAAAAUAAACUUAAAUUUCCAAACUAGUCAACUCCAUCUGGUUCAAAAUAAAACAACCACAAUUACAAAUUCAUCAGUCUAUGUAAUACUACCCCAUACAAUAACUACCAAAUAACCAAUUCAUCACACAAUCCAUCAUGCAAGCACUUCCACCUGGACUACUCCUCAGAAAUGUCCUUGUCAUCUGAGAUCAGGAAGACAGCGACGAUGCAGGAUGUCCCUCAUCGACAGAAACCGGCGGUAUAGAUCAUAGCUCACAUACCCUUCCUAAAGGAAAAUCAAAUUAAAACAUGAAUAUACAAAAAAAACAAGUAUUGUUCUAGCAACAAAGGCAGAAACUAACGAAAAUGAAAUCUUCACUUACAGUAGCUCCAUAUUUCAGGUGAUCAAAUCUAAGUGGCUUCCAAUCCCAGUAGUGACGAAGAAGUUCUGGAAAAGAUGACUCUAGCUUCGAAUAAGAUUCGUCAAUGAUGGCUCCUGCUAAGUCCUCCAUGGAGUCCCUUUCUUUGCCGCCUUUGAUCAUAAACUUCUCUUGGAUGUCGAUAUGGUACCCUUCUGGAAUUCUGAUGAAAUCUUGAAAAAUAGCAUCUCUAAUAUUCCUGACGCCCACACUAGAGAAAGUUAUACCUCUAUUCUCAAGGAAAUCCUUCAAGGCAGGGCACUCCGUCCUGGCCCUGCAGAAGUGAUAGAGCAAAACAUGAUUCUGCAUAGCCAGAUGCAUGACAGCGACUUUUCUACGCCCGUAAAAAUCCUUUCGCGUGAACUCCAUGCCGAGACCAAUAAACUUGUGCUUCUCCUCGCACAACCAGUCCUCGUACAAGCGAAUGAUCUCCUCCACCUUACCAGGCUCGUUGGUGUACCACACGUCGAGCUUCGUGUUACCAUCGGCAACUAUAGAAUGGUACUCGGUGGUGUUCAAAAAGUCGUCCAUGGCAACGAGCAGCAAGGUGCCAGUGGAGAUUCCUAAGACCCUGCGACAAGGUUGGGGAGUGGCGAAGAGGCUGGGAACUGGCUGAUGUUCUGUGGCUAGAAUACGAUGUGAAAACCUCACAAACACGGCCAGUAUUUAACCUUGGCGAGGGACCUUUGAGUUACAAUGCGCAUUAACGUGUGAACUAGGAACAGCGAAUAGACGGUUGUGCUUCCGAAGCUCAUAAAACCAUGCACUUCGUAAAGUCACGGCUGUGCACAAAUAUUUGAUGUCGUGGAGAAAUAGAGGAGCCUCUAACUUUAUUUUAUGAUAACUGACACACCGAAUAGUCACAUCGAACAGCCGGCACAUCGGUCAUCAAUUCCUCCUUUGAAAAAAAACCACCAAUGGAAGAAUCCAAUGAAGCAAACAAACAGCCAGCCGUACGCCUUAGACCCGAAGGCCAAAACUCAUCCGUGCCUCAUCUAGCUAGAUUCACAACAUCUGUCCCUCGAUAGUCAAGGCUAGUUUCAGGUGAGGCCCGGGUAUGCAGGCACAACACGCACAUACGUGUCUAUCAGGAACGGGUAUGCAGGCGCACGAUGCACAUACGUGUCUAUUCCACAGGCACGGGUAUCACCACAGGCACGUAGAGAUACAGGAAGCAACUCGUCGUAAACACGUGAAUGCAGGCAACAAAGGCACGGAAACAAAACCUCUACAUGCACGUGCUUCGGCUUGGCAAGGCACGAAUACAGCCCUGCAAUUAACAUUCUCGAGCCACGACUAGACACCCUCUGCGUACAGACAUGGAAUUGCAGCUUCUCCGACGCACAAGCACGGUUUUCGAAUUGGUAUUAUCGAGGCACAGAUACAAAUCCUCUGCAUACAAAUCAUCUAGAUGCAAAAAAGAGAGGUGGCAGAGGCAUCGGUAAGAACACUCUGUUGGAGAGGCACGGUUGCAAACUCUCAAGAGGGACAGCCAUGUGACACCGCAGACACAUAGACACGUGAAGUGUAUCACAUGAGGAUACAUCAAAUACAAGCACCGAAUCAACGGUAGAAGUGAAAGAGCCACAGUUUUAAAGUGACUAGAGGCAAGGACGUGUAGAAGCACGGGCACGACGAGUCACAGCCACCGCAUCCCCUCACGGACAGGCAUCUGGCACCACAGGCACGUAGAGUCACAGCCAGCGUGUCUCCUGAGACAAGCGAAUGCAGGUACAGGACGCAAAGAACUGCAGUGUAUACAGGCACGAAAUUACGACUUUUGUCGCACAGGUACGGCUAUCGAAUUGGCGUUCUCGAGGCAACGGUACAAACCACCUGAACGCACAAAAGAGUGAUGGCAGAGGCACGGUUGUGUAGUCUGAAGAGAAACUGCCGUGUGACACCACCACAUAGAGACAUCGCGUUUGUCACGUGAGGUACGGUCCCGAAGAACACAAAGACGGGAAACUGAAAAAUGUUGCCUCGUACUUUACCAGACGUGUGUCUCUUGUGCGAAUGUGUAAAACACAACAAUACAAACACAAACAAACAGCGGUGAAUAUAAGCCAAACAAAAAACACGCUUCUCCAAACAAUACAUAUGCGUCCCCUCACGGACUGACACUAGAGGCACGUAGAGUCACAGCCAGCAUGACGCCUGAGACACACAAAUGCACGUACAGGAGACACCGAAUUACAGUGUAUACAGACACAGAAUUGCGGCUUCUCAUAGUUAUCGAAGCACGGGUACAAACAACCUAGAUGCACAAAAGAGUGGUGGCAAAGGCAUGGAUGUGUAGUGUCAAGAGGAACUGUCGUAUGAAACCAGCACGUUACACACAUGGCGUGUCUCACGGAUGUACAUGCAUAGACGGAAAGAAGCCAUGGAAGUGAAGCCUGAACAUACACGGAUGAAUGGAUUCUCAAGGCACGGUCCUAAAGCACACAAAGAAACGAAACUAAAAUGUUGCCUUGUACGUUAGCAGACAUGCCUCUCUUGUGCAAAUGUGUAAAAGCCAACAAUACAAACACAAUCAAACGGCACUGAAUAAAAUCCAAACACAAAACGCGCUUCUCCCAAACAAUACAUAUGCGCCACUUCAACAGGUUCUCUAAAUAUACAUGAACUCACGCAAACAUCAACAAUGAACUUGUAACAUGAAAAAACAUAAGAAAUUAUAUUCACAUAACAUGAGACGGUACUCCAUAGGAUUGAACUAAAAGUACUCAUUAAUUAUACAAAAAAGAAAUGAAAGUCUUCCAGGAAUCCAUUCUGCUCACACCACCUGGACGAUUAUACUCAAUUGGAGUUCUGCUCAAAAGCAUCAACAGCGUCCGGGGUCGGGAAGACAACGAGGAUGCAUCAUGUCCUUCAUAGAUAGAACUCGGCGGUAGAGCUCAUAGUUGACAUACCCAUCCUAAAAUAAAAAGUGGAUGAGAAUGAAGAUAUACGUUAAGGGGGAAAAGUACUGUUGUUGCAAUAAAACAAAAAUAUAAAGACGAAAUUUUCACUUACAAUUGCUGCAUAUUUCAGGUGUUCAAGGGAAAGCGGCUUCCAUUCCUAGUAGUCAUGCAGACCUUGUGGAAAAGACGACUUCAUACUCAAGUAAGAUUUGUUUAUGACGGCUCCUGCCAAAUCUGCCAUUGAAUCCCUUAGGUUGCCUCCUUUGAUCAUGAGCUCCUCUUGAAGGUCGGUGUGACACUCUCUUGGGAUUUUGAGGUAACUGUUUGCGAGAACAUCCCUAUUGUUCCUGAUGUUGACACUAGCGAAAAUUAUACCUUUGUUCCGAAGGAAAUCCUUCAGAGCAACGCACUCCGUCCUGGCCUUGCACAAGUGAUAAACAAGAACAUACUUGCGCAUCGCUAGUUGCAUAACGGCAACUUUUCUACUACGAUCAAAAUAAUCCUCCCGUGUGUACUCCAGGUCAAGACCAACAAACUUGUACCUUUCCUCACGCAGCCAUUCCUCAUAGAGAGUAAGAAUCUCCUCCAGCUUGUGGGGCUCAUUGGUGUACAACACAUCGAGCUUGGUAUUACCAUCAGCAACUAUAGAGAGACGCUCAGUAGUGUUCCUAAAGUCGUCCAUGGAACCGAGGCUGAGACAACAAUGGAGUUUGAUUAUGCUUCUCGUAUGAGUCGAGGAUGACGGGAGCUACCUGCACUUCUCUGGAGGGAAUAAGACGCGAUAACCUCCAGGAAUAGACCACUACUUAACCUUUGGGGAGAGACGGCUGAGCUACCAUGCGCCCAUUUAAUUGCUAAGGAAACGGUGAAUGGACGAUUGUGCUUCUGCAGCUCAUGAAACCAUGCACUUCAAAAGUCACGACUACCAUGCUGUAAUCGAGGAGCACCUAGAUUGACUCUAGCAUGGUAUCUGGCACAAUGAAUACUAACAAUAAAUAGCCAUCCACACCAGCACAUCUUUUGACCGAGAGAACAAUGAGAGGAAGCAAACAAGAUGACCCUGUCGUACAAAUACUACACGGGGACUGAAGAAAAAUAGAAGCAUGGUUCGGCCAGCACAAAAGCCACACGUGUGCCUCCACUUUGCUUUAAAGACAAACCUUAGUGAUAUCAACGGACCUGCAUCUCUAUGUCUAUCCGUGCUUCUCACAUACAAAUAACUGUGGGCUAUCAUAGAUAUUCCCGCCUGAACCCAACGUACAUAAAAACAGUGGCUCCCUAGGUCAACAACUACUUGAAAAAAAUUUGCAAUAACAGAGUCAUGAACCGUGACUCCAUUCCAGAUAAAAAAGUGCCUCUCAUUAGGAACCAUCAUGCCUCCCCUCAAUUUGCCUCCCCCGACGUAUCGACCAUGCCUCUCCUGCUACAACGACCGUGCAUCUAAUAACAUCAUCACCGUUCCUCUCCUAAAGACACACCCAACCAUAUCUGAUUAAACAUGUGAUUAAAAAAAUUAAAACACAAAAGCAGGAGUAUGCUUUUUAGCAUGUAUAACGGUGCCUCGCAAAAAGUAUGUGAGGCAGCAUAGGCACGUAAAAGACUCCGGUCGGACGCAGCACAGCUGGACAACUAUAAUGGGAGGCAGUUGGACGAGUCAAACAUCUCGUGUCCCCAUAACACCUCGGGAUACAUGCACACCAUCUACAACCAGCAUUCAUUCCAUUUCGCAGAAUAAAAAACAAAACAAAAAGCACUGAUACGUCUCCAAUGUAUCUAUAAUUUUUUAUUGCUCGAUGCUAUAUUAUCUACUAUUUUGGACUAUAUUGGGAUUUAUUUUCCACUUUUAUAUUAUUUUUGGGACUAACCUAUUAACCGGAGGCCCAGCCCAGAAUUGAUGUUUUUUGCCUAUUUCAGUGUUUCGGAUAAACAGAAUAUCAAACGGAGUCCAAACGGAAUAAAAUCUUCGGGAACGUGAUUUUCUCACCGAAUGUGAUCCAGGAGACUUGGACCCUACUCCAGGGGGUCAAAGAGGAGGUCACGAGGGUGCCCCUCCUAGGGCGUGCCCCCCUGCCUCGUGGGCCCCUCGGUGCUCCACCAACGUACUCCUUCCUCCUAUAUAUACACACGUACCCCCAAACGAUCAGAACAGGAGCCAAAAACCUAAUUCCACCGCCGCAACUUUCUGUAUCCACGAGAUCCCAUCUUGGGGCCUAUUCCGGAGCUCCGCCGGAAGAGGGCCGUCAUCACGGAGGGCUUCUACAUCAUCCUAGCCUCUCCGAUGAAGUGUGAGUAGUUUACCUCAGACCUUCGGGUCCAUAGUUACUAGCUAGAUGGCUUCUUCUCUCUCUUUGAAUCUCAAUACAAAGUUCUCCCCCUCUCUUGUGGAGAUCUAUUCGAUGUAAUCUUCUUUUUGCGGUGUGUUUGUUGAGACCGAUGAAUUGUGGGUUUAUGAUCAAGUCUAUCUAUGAAUAAUAUUUGAAUCUUCUCUGAAUUCUUUUAUGUAUGAUUGGUUAUCUUUGCAAGUCUCUUCGAAUUAUCCGUUUGGUUUGGCCAACUAGAUUGGUAGUUCUUGUCAUGGGAGAAGUGCUUAGCUUUGGGUUCGAUCUUGCGGUGUCCUUACCCAGUGACAGAAGGGGCAGCAAGGCACGUAUUGUAUCGUUGUCAUCGAGGAUAACAAGAUGGGGUUUAUUUCAUAUUGCAUGAAUUUAUCUCUCUACAUCAUGUCAUCUUGCUUAAGGCGUUACUUUGUUUUUAACUUAAUACUCUAGAUGCAUGCUGGAUAGCGGUCGAUGAGUGGAGUAAUAGUAGUAGAUGCGGAAUCGUUUCGAUCUACUUGUCACGGACGUGAUGCCUAUAUACAUGAGCAUGCCUAGAUAUUCUCAUAACUAUGCUCAAUUCUGUCAAUUGCUCAACAGUAAUUUGUUCACCCACCGUAGAAUACUUAUGCUCUUGAGAGAAGCCACUAGUGAAACCUAUGGCCCCCGGGUCUACUCUCAUCAUAUCAAUCUCCAUCACUUUAUCUUGCUUUGCUUUUUACUUUGCUUUUACUUUUUACUUUGCAUCUUUAUACCAAAAAUACCAAAAAUAUUAUAUCUAUCAGAUCUCACUCUCGUAAGUGACCAUGAAGGGAUUGACAACCCCUAAUCGCGUUGGUUGCGAGUAGCUAUCGCUUUGUGCAGGUACGAGGGACUUGAGCGUGUCCUCCUACUGGAUUGAUACCUUGGUUCUCAAAAACUGAGGGAAAUACUUACACUAUUCUGCUGCAUCAUCCCUUCCUCUUCGGGGAAAACCAACGCAAGCUCAAGACGUAGCAAGAAGGAUUUCUGGCGCCGUUGCCGAGGAGUCUACGCAAAAAGUCAACAUACCAAGUAUCCAUCACAAUCCCUAUCUCUCGCAUUACAUUAUUUGCCAUUUGCCUCUCGUUUUCCUCUCCCCCCAAUUCACCCUUGUCGUUUUAUUCGCCCUCUCUCUCUCUAUCCUCCCUCUCUAUUUGCCUCUUUUUGCCCGCUUGCUUUUUGUUUGCUCGUAUGGUUGGAAUAGUCGUUUAUUUAUUACUAAAUAGAGAACCUAAGAUCUAUGGAUCCUCAUCCGCUUGCUAAUCUUUUUAAGAGAUCCAGUUAUGUUGAACCAAUUGCUAGUGAGUUUUGUGCACUAGAUUAUCUUUAUGAGGUUUUGCUUGAAAUUCGUGAUUCUGAAAAGUGUGAUGAAGUACUUCAUGAAGAGAUUCACAAUAGAUAUUUGAAUAAAAAGCAUGAUUGUAAUGAUGAUAGUAUAAAUUCUAUUAAUAUAAAUUGUGCUAAUAAUAUGCAAAAUCCUAAGCUUGAAGAUGCUAGUUUUGCUAUGUCCUCUACUUGUUGCAAUGAUCAUGAUUGGGGUGAUUCUUCUUAUGAUUUUGAAAAUUUAUUUAAGCCCCAUGAUGAAUAUGAGAUUGAUUAUAAUGUUUGCAAUAAUAUUGAAAGUGGGUUUGGAAGAAUGUCAACUUUAGGUCCCACAUAUUUGGAGAAUGUUCAAUCUUAUGAAGUUUUUGAUAAAAGUGUGUUUGGAAAGGUCGUGACUUUAGUUAAUGUUAAUCCCACUAUUUUGGAAGAGUGUCAACUUUACAUGCAUGUGGAUCAUGUUGAAAGUAUUCUAUGUGAUAGCUAUUUUGUUGAAUUUUCUUAUGAUCCUACAUGUAAUUAUUACGAGAGAGGAAAAUAUGGUGGUAGAAAUUUUCAUGUUACUAAAUUACCUCUCGUUAUGUUGAGAUUGCUAUUGUUUCUUUCCGCUUCCUUGCAUAUGCUAGUUUUUGCUUGCCUUGAUAAUUUGUUUGCCUAUAAGAUGCCUAUGCAUAGGAAUUAUGUUAGACUUAGAUGUGUUUGUCACGUGUUUUAUGAUGCUCUCUUCGUGCUUCAAUUCUUGUCUUUCAUGUGAGCAUCAUUGAAAUAUUAUGCCUAGCUAUAAGGCUUUAAAGAAAAGCGCUUCUUGGGAGACAACCCAAUGUUUAUCCUUGCUAUUAUUUAAUAAAUAAAUUAUUUAUCCUCUGUUUUGGUUGUGUUUUUGUUUUUAAUUAGUGUUUGUGCCAAGUAGAACCAUUGGGAAGACUUGGGGAAAGUCUUGUUGAACUUGCUGUAAAAAACAGAAACUUUAGCGCUCACAAGAACUGCUGUCAUUUUUAUUUGAAGAGUACUAUUUAGUUAAUUCUUUUUGAAGAUGAUUCACGUCCAGAAAUUUAUUUUAGAAUCUUUAGGGUUCCAGAUCUUGCGCUAUCUACAGAUUACUACAGACUGUUCUGUUUUUGACAGAUUUUGUUUUUCGUGUGUUGUUUGCUUAUUUUGAUGAAUCUAUGGCUAGUAAAAUAGUUUAUAAUCCAUAAAGAAGUUGGAAUACAGUAGGUUUAACACCAAUAUAAAUAAAGAAUGAGUUCAUUACAGUACCUUGAAGUGGUCUUUUGUUCUCUUUCGCUAACGGAGCUCACGAGUUUUCUAUUUUGAGUUUUGUGUUGUGAAGUUUUCAAGUUUUGGGUGAAUUCUUUUGAUGGAUCAUGGAACAAGGAGUGGCAAAAUCCUAAGCUUGGGGAUGCCCAUGGCACCCCCAAGAUAAUCCAAGGACACCAAAAAGUCAAAGCUUGGGGAUGCCCCGGAAGGCAUCCCCUCUUUCGUCCACUUCCAUAGGUAAUUUACUUGGAGCUAUAUUUUUAUUCACCAACAUGAUAUGUGUUUUGCUUGCAGCAUCUUGUAUUAUUUGUGUCUUUGUGUCUUAUGUUGGGGAACGCAGUAAUUUCAAAAAAAUUCCUACGCACACGCAAGAUCAUGGUGAUGCAUAGCAACGAGAGGGGAAAGUGUUGUCUACGUACCUACGCAGACCGACUGCGGAAGCGUUGACGCAACGUAGAGGAAGUAGUCGUACGUCUUCCCGAUCCGACCGAUCCAAGCGCCGUUACUCCGGCACCUCCGAGUUCUUAGCACACGUACAGCUCGAUGACGAUCCCCGAGCUCCGAUCCAGCAAAGCGUCGGGGAGGAGUUCCGUCAGCACGACGGCGUGGUGACGAUCUUGAUGUUCUGCUGUCGCAGGGCUUCGCCUAAGCACCGCUACAAUAUGGUCGAGGUGGAAUAUGGUGGCAGGGGGCACCGCACACGGCUAAGGAACGAUCUCAAGGAUCAACUUGUGUGUCUAGGGGUGUCCUCUGCCUCCAUAUAUAAAGAAGCCAAGGGGAGCGGGCCGGCCGGCCAAGGAAGGUGCGCCAAGGGAGUCCUACUCCCUCUGGGAGUAGGAUUCCUUCCCCCAAUCCUAGUUGGAGUAGGAUUCGCUGAGGGGGAAAGAGAGAGAGGGGGGCCGGCCACCUCUCCUUGUCCUAAUAGGACUAGGGGAGGGGGAGGCGCGUGGCCCAUCUUGGGCUGCCCCUUCUCCUUUCCACUAAAGCCCAUUAAGGCCCAUACAGCUCCCGGGGGGUUCCGGUAACCUCCCGGUACUCCGGUAAAAUACCGAUUUCACCCGGAACACUUCCGAUAUCCAAACAUAGGCUUCCAAUAUAUCAAUCUUUAUGUCUCGACCAUUUCGAGACUCCUCGUCAUGUCUGUGAUCACAUCCGGGACUCUGAACUAACUUCGGUACAUCAAAAUGCAUAAACUCAUAAUAACUGUCAUCGUAACGUUAAGCAUGCGGACCCUACGGUUCGAGAAUAAUGUAGACAUGACCGAUACACAUCUCCGGUCAAUAACCAAUAGCGGGACCUGGAUGCCCAUAUUGGCUCCUACAUAUUCUACGAAGAUCUUUAUCGGUCAGACCGCAUAACAACAUACGUUGUUCCCUUUGUCAUCGGUAUGUUACUUGCCCGAGAUUCGAUCGUCGGUAUCCAAUACCUAGUUCAAUCUCAUUACCUGCAAGUCUCUUUACUCGUUCCGUAAUACAUCAUCUCGCAACUAACUCAUUGGCUGCAAUGCUUGCAAGGCUUAUGUGAUGUGCGUUACCGAGAGGGCCCAGAGAUACCUCUCCGACAAUCGGAGUGACAAAUCCUAAUCUCGAAAUACGCCAACCCAACAUCUACCUUUGGAGACACCUGUAGAGCUCCUUUAUAAUCACCCAGUUACGUUGUGACGUUUGGUAGCACACAAAGUGUUCCUCCGGUAAACGGGAGUUGCAUAAUCUUAUAGUCAUAGGAACAUGUAUAAGUCAUGAAGAAAACAAUAGCAACAUACUAAACGAUCGGGUGCUAAGCUAAUGAAAUGGGUCGUGUCAAUCAGAUCAUUCAACUAAUGAUGUGACCUUGUUAAUCAAAUAACAACACCUUGUUCAUGGUUAGGAAACAUAACCAUCUUUGACUAACGAGCUAGUCAAGUAGAGGCAUACUAGUGACACUAAGUUUGUCUAUGUAUUCACACAUGUAUUAUGUUUCCGGUUAAUACAAUUCUAGCAUGAAUAAUAAACAUUUAUCAUGAUAUAAGGAAAUAAAUAGUAACUUUAUUAUUGCCUCUAGGGCAUAUUUCCUUCAUCCUCCCACUUGCACUAGAGUCAAUAAUCUAGAUUACACAGUAAUGAUUCUAACACCCAUGGAGCCUUGGUGCUGAUCAUGUUUUGCUCGUGGAAGAGGCUUAGUCAACGGGUCUGCAACAUUCAGAUCCGUAUGUAUCUUGCAAAUCUCUAUGUCUCCCACCUGGACUAGAUCCCGGAUGGAAUUGAAGCGUCUCUUGAUGUGCUUGGUCCUCUUGUGAAAUCUGGAUUCCUUUGCCAAGGCAAUUGCACCAGUAUUGUCACAAAAGAUUUUCAUUGGACCCGAUGCACUAGGUAUGACACCUAGAUCGGAUAUGAACUCCUUCAUCUAGACUCCUUCGUUCGCUGCUUCCGAAGCAGCUAUGUACUCCGCUUCACAUGUAGAUCCCGCUACGACGCUUUGUUUAGAACUGCACCAACUGACAGCUCCACCGUUUAAUGUAAACACGUAUCCGGUUUGCGAUUUAGAAUCGUCCGGAUCAGUGUCAAAGCUCGCAUCAACGUAACCUUUUACGAUGAGCUCUUUGUCACCUCCAUAUACAAGAAACAUAUCCUUAGUCCUUUUCAGGUAUUUCAGGAUGUUCUUGACCGCUGUCCAGUGAUCCAGUCCUAGAUUACUUUGAUACCUCCCUGCUAAACUUAUAGCAAGGCACACAUCAGGUCUGGUACACAGCAUUGCAUACAUGAUAGAGCCUAUGGCUGAAGCAUAGGGAACAUCUUUCAUUUUCUCUCUAUCUUCUGCAGUGGUUGGGCAUUGAGUCUUGCUCAACUUCACACCUUGUAACACAGGCAAGAACCCUUUCUUUGCUUGAUCCAUUUUGAACUUCUUCAAAACUUUGUCAAGGUAUGUGCUUUGUGAAAGUCCAAUUAAGCGUCUUGAUCUAUCUCUAUAGAUCUUAAUGCCUAAUAUGUAAGCAGCUUCACCGAGGUCUUUCAUUGAAAACUUUUAUUCAAGUAUCCCUUUAUGCUAUCCAGAAAUUCUAUACCAUUUCCAAUUAGUAAUAUGUCAUCCACAUAUAAUAUCAGAAAUGCUACAGAGCUCCCACUCACUUUCUUGUAAAUACAGGCUUCUCCAAAAGUCUGUAUAAAACCAAAUGCUUUGAUCACACUAUCAAAGCGUUUAUUCCAACUCCGAGAGGCUUGCACCAGUCCAUAAAUGGAUCGCUGGAGCUUGCACACUUUGUUAGCUCCCUUUGGAUCGACAAAACCUUCUGGUUGCAUCAUAUACAACUCUUCUUCCAGAAAUCCAUUCAGGAAUGCAGUUUUGACAUCCAUCUGCCAAAUUUCAUAAUCAUAAAAUGCGGCAAUUGCUAACAUGAUUUAGACAGACUUAAGCAUCGCUACGGGUGAGAAAGUCUCAUCAUAGUCAAUCCCUUGAACUUGCCGAAAACCUUUUGCGACAAGUCGAGCUUUGUAGAUAGUAAUAUUACCGUCAGCGUCAGUCUUCUUCUUGAAGAUCCAUUUAUUCUCAAUUGCUUGCCGAUCAGCGGGCAAGUCAACCAAAGUCCAUACUUUGUUCCCAUACAUGGAUCCCAUCUCAGAUUUCAUGGCUUCAAGCCACUUUGCGGAAUCUGGGCUCACCAUCGCUUCUUCAUAGUUCGUAGGUUCAUCAUGAUCUAGCAGCAUGAUUUCCAGAACAGGAUUACCGUACCACUCUGGUGCGGAUCUCGCUCUGGUUGAUCUACGAGGUUCAGUAGUAUCUUGUCCUGAAGUUUCAUGAUCAUCAUCAUUAGCUUCCUCACUAAUUGGUAUAGGUGUCGCAGAAACAAUUUUCUGUGAUGUACUACUUUCCAAUAAGGGAGCAGGUACAGUUACCUCGUCAAGUUCUACUUUCCUCCCACUCACUUCUUUCGAGAGAAACUCCUUCUCUAGAAAGGAUCCAUUCUUAGCAACGAAUGUCUUGCCUUCGGAUCUGUGAUAGAAGGUGUACCCAACAGUCUCCUUUGGGUAUCCUAUGAAGACACAUUUCUCCGAUUUGGGUUCGAGCUUAUCAGAUUGAAGCUUUUUCACAUAAGCAUCACAGCCCCAAACUUUAAGAAAUGACAACUUUGGUUUCUUGCCAAACCACAGUUCAUAAGGCGUCGUCUUAACGGAUUUUGAUGGUGCCCUAUUUAACGUGAAUGCGGCCGUCUCUAGAGCGUAUCCCCAAAACGAUAGCGGUAAAUCAGUAAGAGACAUCAUAGAUCGCACCAUAUCUAGUAAAGUAUGAUUACGACGUUCGGACACACCAUUGCGCUGUGGUGUUCCGGGUGGCGUGAGUUGCGAAACUAUUCCACAAUUUUUCAAAUGUACACCAAUCUCGUAACUCAAAUAUUCUCCUCCACGAUCAGAUCGUAGAAACUUUAUUUUCUUGUUACGAUGAUUUUCAACUUCACUCUGAAAUUCUUUGAACUUUUCAAAUGUUUCAGACUUAUGUUUCAUUAAGUAGAUAUACCCGUAUCUGCUUAAAUCAUCUGUGAAGGUGAGAAAAUAACGAUAUCCGCCACGAGCUUCAAUAUUCAUCGGACCACAUACAUCUGUAUGUAUGAUUUCCAACAAAUCUGUUGCUCUCUCCAUAGUACCGGAGAACGGUGUUUUUGUCAUCUUGCCCAAGAGGCACGGUUCGCAAGUACCAAGUGAUUCAUAAUCAAGUGGUUCCAAAAGUCCAUCAGUAUGGAGUUUCUUCAUGCGCUUUAUACCGAUAUGACCUAAACGGCAGUGCCAUAAAUAAGUUGCACUAUCAUUAUCAACUCUGCAUCUUUUGGCUUCAACAUUAUGAAUAUGUGUAUUACUACUAUCGAGAUUCAAUAAGAAUAGACCACUCUUCAAGGGUGCAUGACCAUAAAAGAUAUUACUCAUAUAAAUAGAACAACCAUUAUUCUCUGAUUUAAAUGAAUAACCAUCUCGCAUUAAACAAGAUCCAGAUAUAAUGUUCAUGCUCAACACUGGCACCAAAUAACAAUUAUUUAGGUCUAAUAUUAAUCCCGAAGGUAGAUGUAGAGGUAGCGUGCCGAUCGCGAUCACAUCGACUUUGGAACCGUUUCCCACGCGCAUCGUCACCUCGCCCUUCGCCAGUGUUCGCUUAAUCCGUAGCCCCUGUUUCGAGUUGCAAAUAUUAGCAACAGAACCAGUAUCAAAUACCCAGGUGCUACUGCAAGCUCUAGUAAGGUACACAUCAAUAACAUGUAUAUCACAUAUACCUUUGUUCACCUUGCCAUCCUUCUUAUCCGCCAAAUAUUUGGGGCAGUUCUGCUUCCAGUGACCAGUCUUCUUGCAGUAGAAGCACUCAGUUUCAGGCUUAGGUCCAGACUUGGGUUUCUUCUCCUGAGCAGCAACUAGCUUGCCGUUCUUCUUGAAGUUCCCCUUCUUCUUCCCUUUGCCCUUUUUCUUGAAACUAGUGGUCUUGUUAACCAUCAAAACUUGAUACUCCUUCUUGAUUUCUACCUCUGUAGCUUUCAGCAUUGCGAAGAGCUCGGGUAUAGUCUUGUUCAUCCCUUGCAUAUUAUAGUUCAUCACGAAGCUCUUGUAGCCUGGUGGCAGUGAUUGGAGAAUUCUGUCAAUGACGCAAUCAUCUGGAAGAUUAACUCCCAUCUGAAUCAAGUGAUUAUUAUACCCAGACAUUUUGAGUAUAUGCUCACUGACAGAACUGUUCUCCUCCAUCUUGCAGCUAUAGAACUUAUUGGAGACUUCAUAUCUCUCAAUUCGGGCAUUUGCUUGAAAUAUUAACUUCAACUCCUGGAACAUCUCAUAUGCUCCAUGACGUUCAAAACAUCGUUGAAGUCCCGAUUCUAAGCCGUAAAGCAUGGCACACUGAACUAUCGAGUAGUCAUCAGCUUUGCUCUGCCAAACGUUCAUAACAUCUGGUGUUGCUCCAGCAGCAGGCCUGGCACCUAGUGGUGCUUCCAGGACGUAAUUCUUCUGAGCAGCAAUGAGGAUAAUCCUCAAGUUACGGACCCAGUCCGUGUAAUUGCUACCAUCAUCUUUCAACUUUGCUUUCUCAAGGAACGCAUUAAAAUUCAACGGAACAACAGCACGAGCCAUCUAUCUACAAUCAACAUAAACAAGCAAGAUACUAUCAGGUACUAAGUUCAUGAUAAGUUUAAGUUCAAUUAAUCAAAUUACUUAAGAACUCCUACUUAGAUAGACAUCCCUCUAAUCCUCUAAGUGAUCACGUGAUCCAAAUCAACUAAACCAUAACCGAUCAUCACGUGAGAUGGAGUAGUUUUCAAUGGUGAACAUCGUUAUGUUGAUCAUAUCUACUAUAUGAUUCACGCUCGACCUUUCAGUCUCUGUGUUCCGAGGCCAUAUCUGCAUAUGCUAGGCUCGUCAAGUUUAACCUGAGUAUUCUGCGUGUGCAAAACUGGCUUGCACCCGUUGUAGAUGGACGUAGAGCUUAUCACACCCGAUCAUCACGUGGUGUCUGGGCACGAUGAACUUUGGCAACGGUGCAUACUCAGGGAGAACACUUCUUGAUAAUUUAGUGAGAGAUCAUCUUAUAAUGCUACCGUCAAUCAACGCAAGAUAAGAUGCAUAAAAAGAUAAACAUCACAUGCAAUCAAUAUAAGUGAUAUGAUAUGGCCAUCAUCAUCUUGUGCUUGUGAUCUCCAUCUCCUGAGCACCGUCAUGAUCACCAUCGUCACCGGCGCGACACCUUAAUCUCCGUCGUAGCAUCGUUGUCGUCUCGCCAAUCUUAUGCUUCCACGACUAUCGCUACCGCUUAGUGAUAAAGUAAAGCAUUACAUUGCGAUUGCAUUGCAUACAAUAAAGCGACAACCAUAUGGCUCCUGCCAGUUGCCGAUAACUCAGUUACAAAACAUGAUCAUCUCAUACAAUAAAAUUCAUCAUCAUGCCUUGACCAUAUCACAUCACAACAUGCCCUGCAAAAACAAGUUAGACGUCCUCUACUUUGUUGUUGCAAGUUUUACGUGGCUGCUACGGGCUUAAGCAAGAAUCAAUCUCACCUACGCAUCAAAACCACAACGAUAGUUUGUCAAAUAGACUCCAUUUUAACCUUCGCAAGGACCGGGCGUAGCCACACUUGGUUCAACUAAAGUUGGAGAGACUGUCGCCCGCAAGCCACCUAUGUGCAAAGCACGUCGGGAGAACCGGUCUCGCGUAAGCGUACGCGUAAUGUCGGUCCGGGUCGUCUCGUCCAACAAUACCGCCGAACCAAAGUAUGACAUGCUGGUAGGCAGUAUGACUUGUAUCGCCCACAACUCACUUGUGUUCUACUCGUGCAUAUAACAUCAAACCAUAAAACCUAGGCUCGGAUGCCACUGUUGGGGAACGCAGUAAUUUCAAAAAAAUUCCUACGCACACGCAAGAUCAUGGUGAUGCAUAGCAACGAGAGGGAAGAGUGUUGUCUACAUACCUACGCAGACCGACUGCGGAAGCGUUGACACAACGUAGAGGAAGUAGUCGUACGUCUUCCCGAUCCGACCGAUCCAAGCGCCGUUACUCCGGCACCUCCGAGUUCUUAGCACACGUACAGCUCGAUGACGAUCCCCGGGCUCCGAUCCAGCAAAGCGUCGGGGAGGAGUUCCGUCAGCACGACGGCGUGGUGACGAUCUUGAUGUUCUGCUGUCGCAGGGCUUCGCCUAAGCACCGCUACAAUAUGAUCGAGGUGGAAUAUGGUGGCAGGGGGCACCGCACACGGCUAAGGAACGAUCUCAAGGAUCAACUUGUGUGUCUAGGGGUGUCCUCUGCCUCCGUAUAUAAAGGAGCCAAGGGGAGGGGGCCGGCCGGCCAAGGAGGGCGCGCCAAGGGAGACCUACUCCCUCUGGGAGUAGGAUUCCUUCCCCCAAUCCUAGUUGGAGUAGGAUUCGCUGAGGGGGAAAGAGAGAGAGGGGGGCCGGCCACCUCUCCUUGUCCUAAUAGGACUAGGGGAGGGGGGAGGCAUGCGGCCCAUCUUGGGCUGCCCCUUCUCCUUUCCACUAAAGCCCAUUAAGGCCCAUACAGCUCCUGGGGGGUUCCGGUAACCUCCCGGUACUCCGGUAAAAUACCGAUUUCACCCGGAACACUUCCGAUAUCCAAACAUAGGCUUCCAAUAUAUCAAUCUUUAUGUCUCGACCAUUUCGAGACUCCUCGUCAUGUCCGUGAUCACAUCCGGGACUCCGAACUAACUUCGGUACAUCAAAAUGCAUAAACUCAUAAUAACUGUCAUCGUAACAUUAAGCGUGCGGACCCUACGGUUCGAGAAUAAUGCAGACAUGACUGAGACACAUCUCCGGUCAAUAACCAAUAGCGGGACCUGGAUGCCCAUAUUGGCUCCUACAUAUUCUACGAAGAUCUUUAUCGGUCAGACCGCAUAACAACAUACGUUGUUCCCUUUGUCACCGGUAUGUUACUUGCCCGAGAUUCGAUCGUCGGUAUCCAAUACCUAGUUCAAUCUCAUUACCGGCAAGUCUCUUUACUCGUUCCGUAAUACAUCAUCUCGCAACUAAAUCAUUGGCUGCAAUGCUUGCAAGGCUUAUGUGAUGUGCAUUACCGAGAGGGCCCAGAGAUACCUCUCCGACAAUCGGAGUGACAAAUCCUAAUCUCGAAAUACGCCAACCCAACAUCUACCUUUGGAGACACCUGUAGAGCUCCUUUAUAAUCACCCAGUUACGUUGUGACGUUUGGUAGCACACAAAGUGUUCCUCCGGUAAACGGGAGUUGCAUAAACUUAUAGUCAUAGGAACAUGUAUAAGUCAUGAAGAAAACAAUAGCAACAUACUAAACGAUCGGGUGCUAAGCUAAUGAAAUGGGUCAUGUCAAUCAGAUCAUUCAACUAAUGAUGUGACCUUGUUAAUCAAAUAACAACACCUUGUUCAUGGUUAGGAAACAUAACCAUCUUUGAUUAACGAGUUAGUCAAGUAGAGGCAUACUAGUGACACUAAGUUUGUCUAUGUAUUCACACAUGUAUUAUGUUUCCGGUUAAUACAAUUCUAGCAUGAAUAAUAAACAUUUAUCAUGAUAUAAGGAAAUAAAUAAUAACUUUAUUAUUGCCUCUAGGGCAUAUUUCCUUCAUCUUAGUAUGCCACAAUCAUCCUUGCUGUACACACCUUUUGAGAGAGCCAUACAUGAAUUAAAAUUUGAUUGAAUACUCUAUGUGCUCCACUUAUAUCUUUUGAGCUAAGUAGUUUUGCUCUAUGUGCUUCACUUAUAUCUUUUGAGCUAAGUAGUUUUGCUCUAUGUGCUUCACUUAGAUAUUUUAGAGCACGGUGGUGGAUUUGUUUUAAAGAAACUAUUGAUCUCUCAUGCUUCACUUAAACUAUUUUGAGAGUCUCUUAAUAGCAUGGUAAUUUGCUUAAUAAUAAUAUGCUUGGUAUUCAAGAUUUGUGAAACUUUCUUUUGAGUGUGUUGAAUACUAAGAAAAGAUUGAAGCAUGAUAAUUGUUUUGAGAUAUGGAGGUGAUAAUAUUAAAGUCAUGCUAGUUGAGUAGUUGUGAAUUUAAAGAAUACUUGUGUUAAAGUUUGUGAUUCCCAUAGCAUGCAUGUAUGGUGAAUCGUUAUGUGACGAAGUCGGAGCAUGAUUUAUUUAUUGAUUGUCUUCCUUAUGAGUGGCGGUCGGAGACGAGCGAUGGUCUUUUCCUACCAAUCUAUCCCCCUAGGAGCAUGCGCGUAAUACUUUGCUUUGAUAACUUCUAGAUUUUUGCAAUAAGUAUAUGAGUUCUUUAUGACUAAUGUUGAGUCCAUGGAUUAUACGCACUCUCACCCUUCCACCUUUGCUAGCCUCUCUAAUACCGCGCACUUUUCGCCGGUAUCAUACACCUACCAUAUACCUUCCUCAAAACAGCCACCAUACCUACCUAUUAUGGCAUUUCCAUAGCCAUUCCGAGAUAUAUUGCCAUGCAACUUUCCACCAUCUAGUUCAUCAUGACACAUUCAUCAUUGUCAUAUUGCUUAGCAUGAUCAUGUAGUUGACAUAGUAUUUGUGGCAAAGCCACCAUUCAUAAUUUCUUCAUACUUGUCACUCUUGAUUCAUUGCAUAUCACGGUACACCUCCAGAGGCAUCCAUAUAGAGUCAUACUUUGUUUUAGCAUCGAGUUGUAAUCAUUGAGUUGUAAAUAAAUAAAAGUGUGAUGAUCAUCAUUCAAUAAAGCAUUGUCCCAAUAAAAAAGAGAAAGGCCAAAGAAAAAAAGGCCCAAAAAAAGAAAAUAAAUAAAAAGGGGAAAUGCUACUAUCCUUUUUUCCACACUUGUGCUUCAAAGUAGCACCAUGAUAUAGCGAGUCUCAUAUAUUGUGCUUCAAAGUAGCACCAUGUUCUUCAUAUAGAGAGUCUCAUAUGUUGUCACUUUCAUAUACUAGUGGGAAUUUUACAUUAUAGAACUUGGCUUGUAUAUUCCAAUGAUGGGCUUCCUCAAAUUGCCCUAGGUCUUCGUGAGCAAGCAAGUUGGAUGCACACCCACUAGUUUCUUUUGUUGAGCUUUCAUACAUUUAUAGCUCUAGUGCAUCCGUUGCAUGGCAAUCCCUACUCACUCACAUUGAUAUCUAUUGAUGGGCAUCUCCAUAGCCUGUUGAUACGCCUAGUUGAUGUGAGACUAUCUUCCCCUCCUUUUUGUCUUCUCCACAACCACCAUUCUAUUCCACCUAUAGUGCUAUAUCCAUGGCUCACGCUCAUGUAUUGCGUGAAGAUCGAAAAAGUUCUGAAAAAGUUAGAGUAUGAAACAAUUGCUUGGCUUGUCAUCGGGGUUGUGCAUGAUUUAAAUACUUUGUGUGGUGAAGAUGGAGCAUAGCCAGACUAUAUGAUUUUGUAGGCAUAAUUUUCUUUGGCCAUGUUAUUUUGAGAAGACAUAAUUGCUUUGUAAGUAUGCUUGAAGUAUUAUUAUUUUCAUGUCAAUAUAAACUUUUGUCUUCAAUCUUUCUAAUCUGAAUAUUCAUACCACAAUUAAGAAGAUUUGCAUUGAAAAUAUGCCAAGUAGCACUCGCAUCAAAAAUUCUCUUUUUAUCAUUUACCUACUCGAGGACUAGCGGGAAUUAAGCUUGGGGAUGCCUGAUACGUCUCCAACGUAUCUAUAAUUUUUGAUUGCUCCAUGCUAUAGUAUCUACUGUUUUGGACUAUAUUGGGCUUUAUUUUCCACUUUUAUAUUAUUUUUGGGACUAACCUAUUAACCGGAGGCCCAGCCCAGAAUUGUUGUUUUUUGCCUAUUUCAGUGUUUCGGAUAAACAGAAUAUCAAACGGAGUCCAAACCGAAUAAAAUCUUCGGGAACGUGAUUUUCUCACCGAACGUGAUCCAGGAGACUUGGACCCUACUCCGGGGGGUCAAAGAGGAGGUCACGAGGGUGGGGGCGCCCCCCCCCCUAGGGCGUGCCCCCCUGCCUCGUGGGCCCCUUGGUGCUCCACCGACGUACUCCUUCCUCCUAUAUAUACACACAUACCCCCAAACGAUCAGAACAGGAGCCAAAAACCUAAUUCCACCGCCGCAACUUUUUGUAUCCACGAGAUCCCAUCUUGGGGCCUGUUCUGGAGCUCCGUCGGAAGAGGGCCGUCAUCACGGAGGGCUUCUACAUCAUCCUAGCCUCUCCGAUGAAGUGUGAGUAGUUUACCUCAAACCUUCGGGUCCAUAGUUAGUAGCUAGAUGGCUUCUUCUCUCUCUUUGAAUCUCAAUACAAAGUUCUCCCCCUCUCUUGUGGAGAUCUAUUCAAUGUAAUCUUCUUUUUGCGGUGUGUUUGUUGAGAUCGAUGAAUUGUGGGUUUAUGAUCAAGUCUAUCUAUGAAUAAUAUUUGAAUCUUCUCUGAAUUUUUUUUAUGUAUGAUUGGUUAUCUUUGCAAGUCUCUUCGAAUUAUCCGUUUGGUUUGGCCAACUAGAUUGGUAGUUCUUGCCAUGGGAGAAGUGCUUAGCUUUGGGUUCGAUCUUGCGGUGUCCUUACCCAGUGACAGAAGGGGCGGCAAGGCACGUAUUGUAUCGUUGCCAUCGAGGAUAACAAGAUGGGGUUUAUUUCAUAUUGCAUGAAUUUAUCUCUCUACAUCAUGUCAUCUUGCUUAAGGCGUUACUCUGUUUUUAACUUAAUACUCUAGAUGCAUGCUGGAUAGCGGUCGAUGAGUGGAGUAAUAGUAGUAGAUGCAGAAUCGUUUCGAUCUACUUGUCACGGACGUGAUGCCUAUAUACAUGAUCAUGCCUAGAUAUUCUCAUAACUAUGCUCAAUUCUGUCAAUUGCUCAACAGUAAUUUGUUCACCCACCGUAGAAUACUUAUGCUCUUGAGAGAAGCCACUAGUGAAACCUAUGGCCCCCGGGUCUAUUCUCAUCAUAUCAAUCUCCAUCACUUUAAUCUUGCUUUGCUUUUUACUUUGAUUUUACUUUUUACUUUGCAUCUUUAUACCAAAAAUAUUAUAUCUAUCAGAUCUCACUCUCGUAAGUGACCGUGAAGGGAUUGACAACCCCUAAUCGCGUUGGUUGCGAGUAGAUAUCGCUUUGUGCAGGUACGAGGGACUUGAGCGUGGCCUCCUACUGGAUUGAUACCUUGGUUCUAAAAAACUGAGGGAAAUACUUAUGCUACUCUGCUGCAUCAUCCCUUCCUCUUCCAGGAAAACCAAGGCAAGCUCAAGACGUAGCAAGCACUCAUUACUACUCUUGCUCUCUCCCAUCUCCUUUAUAUUUCAAUAAGCUCUGACUCCCUCAGCCACAACACAACUCAUUUGCCUUCUCCGUCGCUUGCUUCUAGGGUUCGUGCUUCUUCUCCGUCUCCUACUUCCAGGGUUCGUGCUUCUAACCCGCACACAAUCGAUUAAUUUCUAAGCCAUACUUCUCUCAUAGGUUGCUGGCCGUGGGUGCUUGCCCUAAGCUUCCCAUCACAAGCCAUCUGCCUUAUCCGUCCGCCUACUUUUAAGGUUCGUGCUUUUUCCCCGCACACAGUCUCAUUUCAAACAAGUUAUUGAAGAGUUUUUAUUGGGUCUCUUGAUUAACUUCCAAGCCGUGCUUCUCUCGUAGAUUUUGCUAGCCGUGUGCGCUUGCCCUAAGCUUCCCCUACCCAAAUCUCCGUUCGUCAACCCUCGUUCUUCUUCUGUCCCAGGUAAAAAGCAUAUGCGUAAGCAGCAUGCUCCGAUCCGUAUUUACGUUUUAUGUUUAGGUUUUUCAUUUGAUAGUUAUUGAAGCAUCAGAUCCGAUACAACGACUUCAUUCUCUAACGGAAUAUAAAAACCAUUUGAAAAUCUAAACAAGUGUUAUAAACUCUGUCAUACUGCUUUUCUCGAAGGAGUAGAUGAGAAGAUUUAUGGUAAAUUUGUAGCUGUUGCCCGCCUUCAAUAUAGCUACCAUAUUUGAAGCUAGCCGUUGUCUACCUUCCAUGUUGAAGCUUGUUUUUAAAUUGUUAUGAUAUUCUUGUUUUCUUAACAUAGCUUUUCUGAAAUAUUUAGGUAUGAAAUGCCCUGCCUGCCGCCAACCAGGCGGCCCUUGUGAACCACACCCUGAAGUUAUCCAGGAGUUUGAGGUUAUUCUUGAUGAAAAUUGCUGGAGCCGCAUGGUUAGUAAGCAUCACUAACAAAUUAGUUGCUUACAACACAGUAAAAAUCGUCACUAUCACUCAUACCCCCAUGCACCUACACUAGGUCCCCCUGCUGCCACUUCUUCGCACAUGCCUUGUGUUUUCAAUUUCCAUUAGUUUGCUUGCCUAUGCCUUGAUUAAUAUAGUCCAUUAAUUUAUAAUACAAUUAUGUUGUUAUCUAUAAUUCUUAUCAAAAAUUCAUAUCAAAUUUAAGAAAAUUUUUAACAUUAACAGUAUGCAAGUUCAAAUUUAUACUUACAGGUUGUUAUUUGCACUACUUUUUCCAGUAUGUACCCUGUAAUGUCAGAGCUUUUCCCGUUGAAUACAUUGAAGAAGAGAAGAAAGAAGCAAGAAAAUUGCGUAAACAGCAGGUAGAGCCAGCCCUUCUUACACAUGAAGGAAGGUCUUACAAUGCUUUGUUUAAGCAUAGGGCAAACUACACAAAGUUCUGCGGUGGUGAGUGGAACAUCUUUGCGGCUGAUUAUGAACUUCGUGCUGGAGACCGCAUAGAAUUUGAACUACCAGACGAGGGUCUCAAUCUCGAAAUACAAACAUAUUGAGAUAACAAAAGGCUGCUUCCAUUACCCCAUGUUGGUAGGUAUUUAAUAUUACAAACAUUACAGACUUAUCUUCUUUCGCUGUAAUUUUAUAUGCAUGAAUCGAACUGAAUAAUAUUAACCCCAUGUUGGAUGUAACUUUAUCUAACUUUAAAAGCCUUUUCUUUUUCUAGCUCUCGACGAUCUUUCUUCUGAUGAUUUCGACCAUGUUCACUGCUUUGUCUACUCUAAGGAUAUUGAGCUCACCUACGACCAGACAUGAUUCUUUCUACAACGCCUUUUCGGAGAUACUUUCAUCCGUUGCCGUCCAUUUGUCCAUGUCCUAACUCACACUAACACCAAAGACUACGUCAUGGUUGGUUACAACUGUCCUUAUUAAAAUACCAAAAGUAUUUUGCUCAUAUGCAAUAUAAACAAUACCGACGUAAUAUUGCUUAUAUGUAAAAUUAUAAAAAACCUAUUUAUUCAAACCUAAAACAACAAAACUUCCGUUGUUCUCUUAAUAUGUUGUUUUAUUUGUUUACACACAAACCUGAACAUGCCAGGAACUAUAUUACUUCGAAUAUGGAAUUUCUUAAUGUUUGUGCACUCACCAUAUUCAGACAUCCUUUUAUUUAUUGCCCAAGUGACAAAUCAACGGUUUUAAUUUCGAUUUUCUUCUAGAAAAUUCCGAGGAGCGUUGUCUCAACACUGAAGAGAUGGAUGGACAUGCCAACCAAUGGCAGGGUAACCCUUGAAGCUCCUGGUGAACAUACACAUGUCAUCACUCCUUCAUCGUACUACAUCUCCAAAACUAACGGCAGGAUGGUAAUACAAAAGUCUUCUUUCAGAGACUUCAUAUCAGCUGCAUCCUUCGUUGAAAAGAACGUUGUUCUAAUCACUUUCAAAGAGUGAAAUGACCAUUCUGUGUCCAUCAUCGUUCAGCGCAUCAUGUAGAUUCUGUCGGAACCAGCACCUAAAAUGGAAGCAAACAUUGCAUCUCCUAGAAUGUUCAACGCUCGUUUCAUCAUGAUGCCUCCAGGAGCAAAACACUGAUUACUAUAAGUUUGCUAGAUAGGAUGGUAGAGUAAUUUAACUAUUAUGGACCAUGUGCUUGCUUGAACUAUAGGAAUAUUCUUUUGCAACUUAUGUAGCUCUUACAGACACUCAACUUGUUGUUUCAACCAUCGGAAUGAUCCUUUAAAACAAAUGUUGUUUGAACCAUCGAAAUGAUUCAAUCGAAAAAAUGUAGUUCUUAUCCUUUGAACAUUUCACAAUUCAAAAAACCAAAAAACAAAAAGUUUCAUUUUCAAAAAUGAAACGAAACAAGAAUCAGUUUGUGAUUCAAAACCUCUAGCAAUACGAUGUUAUCAAACUUAUUCAAACCAUCUAGUGAAACAUAUCUCAAUUAAAAACCAAACAGGACUACGUUUUCAAGUCCAAACUAUAUUUAGUUCAACUUUUCCUAAACACACUUGUACACCGAAUAACAUAAAAACCGUGCCUCCCUAACCAAGGAAGAUUAUUAACUGAAAAAAACGUUUCACAACAAAGGCACGACCAUGCAUCUGCUGAAUGUUCUAACGUUUACACGACUACUAUCACGGCCAAAGAUGCAUCACGCAGGCAGCACGCAACGAAUAAAAAAAAUCAAUGAACAAAGACAAGUGAAAAUCUUAAAAAAAACAGAUAAAAAAACCCUUGGUUCCGAAAUUCUACGCCUAGAACCGCCGCGUGACUAGCAACUGCUCUUUGGCGGUUUCCUUUUUUGCAUGACAAAACAACCCUUUCACUUUUCCGACUCCAUUUCAUCCUCUUCCUCGAAAGUUUCUCGCCGGCCACGGUUCACCACCGCACACCUCCAGCCAUGGACGACGGGAAACUAACAACAUUCACUGAACACAUCACUACCCACGGUACAACCAUGCUCGAGGUGGUGUACACCAACGACCCAAGGACCAUGGAGCGGAUCAUCAACAAGUAUGAAGAACGGCUAAAGGAGGAGAAGAACAAGCUCGUCGGCCUCGACCUCGAGUACACACGUAAGAGCAGUUACAUACGACAAGGGAUCACCGUCGUCCAACUUUCCAUGCGCGAGCAUGUCCUUGUAUACCACUACUAUAGGUCCGAGCGCUCCCAGGCGUUAGUUGACUUCCUGCAACGGAAAGCGGUAACUUUCACUAGCGUCGACACCAGGAACGACAAGACCAUGCUUGCCCGUGCAUGCAUCAGAAUUCCAGACGAGCACCAUGUCGACAUCCAGAGGCUAUUCUGCAUCAAGGGUGGUGGAGAAAGGGACUCCAUGGCUGACCUUGCAGUGGCCAUCAUCGACCCCUCAUACAAGAACAUGAAGAAAUCAUUCCCAAAGGAGAAGCACCAGUUCUGGGAGUGGAAGCCACUUUCCCCGAUACACCUUGAGUACGCGGCAAAGGACGGGUAUGUUAGCUACGAGUUGUACCAUAGAAUCCUAAUCAUCAAGAACGGGCUACGUCAUCUCCACCAACAACCAAUGAAAGAAAGACUCCGCCCACGUAAGAGCAAUGACGAGGGAUCUUCCAGCAGCUAGAAGCGCCGGAAGGGAAACAGUGGUUGGUAAAUUGUGAGAAAAUGGAUGUCUACAUUAAACUAGUAGGAACUACUAUUAUCAUAAUUUGGAUUGCAUGAACCUAUGUUGUAAAUAUGUUUGUUGUUGCUCAAAGAUGUUGUGUGUAUUGUAUUACUAUUUUACGUUUGAACUUUGAACACAGUGGUGUGCUCAUGUACUAAUUUGGAUUGUAUGAACCUAUGUUGUAAAUAUGUUUGUUGUUGCUCAAAGAUGAUAUGUGUAUUGUAUUACUAUUUUACAUUUGAACUUUGAACAUAGUGGUGUGCUCAUGUACAAAUGCAUACUAUGUUUUGCAUGUCUAAAUGCAAUUAGUAAGUUAUAUCUAAAUGCAAUUAGUAACUUAUGUCCCAGUACUGAGCAAGCAUAUAUUGUAUCCAUGAUUAUAGAACGAGAGAUAUCUCACACGAUAUUGUAUUAUAAUUUUCAUACUCAACCUUUACAAGAUGCAUCGUGCAUUUACAAGAAUAUGUGAUGAUAUCGUUGUAAACUCUCAGUACAAUGCUUAUUAAACAUUGGCGUGAGCAAUUCAUAAAUAUUGCAGAAGAUCAUUCGGUACACAGUCACAAGCGACGAGAACUUUGUUACCUUAACCACAUUGAAAAAAAUCCUCGCCUCCAUUUCACAUCAAACACCGCUCUGUCCAUUUAGAACAUCCUUGUUAUUGUACACAGGUUCCUCUCCGUACACCAGUUCUGCACGAUGCCACAAAACUACACUACUGUGUGCAACUGACCUAUUUACAAGAGUGACUCACUAAGUGUCUACUCAAUCCAUGCAUGUGGUGCCACGCACCCGUGACCCUAGAGACUACACACAUGUGCAUCAUUAACCGAGCCCCUCUAACCAGAUAUUCGGACAGAUGCCUCUACUGUCGUACAUCUGUGCCUCUAGAAUCUUGACACCAGCAAGUGGGUUCAAAACCGUGCCUCCAGACAACCGUGCUUGUACUGACUGCGGUGCCUCUGUUUGCUUGAUCAACGUGCCCCACUUGAAACCCAAAGUAACUCUACGUGCUCCGCACGCAUGAUCGUCAAUGCAACUUUGGUGCUCCACAGAUGCGUCUCUCACUAUACCCGUACCUCCACAACCGUGCUUGUACUGACUAUAAUUCCAUGCCUCCGUUUUGCUCAAUCCACGUGCCUCACAUAAAACCAACAAUAACUCUACGUCCUACACACACGUGCCUCUCGCAUCAAACUCAUAGUAUCUCGCCCGUACAGCUUUGGCGCUGCACACACGUAGCUCAGUAUACCCGUGCCUCCUCACGACCAUACCUGCACUGACUUCAAUUAUGUGCCUUCAUUUGCUUAAUCCACGUGCCUCACAUAAAAGAGAUACACAGCCGUGCCUCAAAGUAAACAACACACGUGUCUCUACUGUAUUCAAAACUAUAACCCCAAUUAAAUAAUAUCCGUCCAAAAGAACAUCUUUAAAAGAGAUGCACAGCCAUACCUCUUCUACAAACAUACAACAGCAAUGAACACUUAGGUUCUUAGGUUCAUAUCGUUUCAUAUAUCAAGACAACAUUAAGCCAUAGCAUAGAUUUUUAAACAAAAUCCAUUUAUGUUCAAAGGCUAUAACUAACAUCACUGCGGCAGAAGAUUGAAGAUAACAACAAGCCUCCCAUCACGCUCUUUGAAAGUUAUCAGCACCAAGCUGUUUACUUCAAUAGACGAUGCCUGGAGAAAAUCACUGAAACCUUCCUGUUUGAACACCAUUCUACUACCCAAGCCAAUGAAGUAGGAGCAAGGAGUGCUCACAUAUAUAUCAUCAUCACCAGAUUCCAAAGUAACUUCAAGGGUUAAAACGCCAGUCCUAGGAAAAGUCACAAACUCCUCCAAACUCCUCACAACAAUACCAGGAAUAACCUGACAAAAACAUCAAGCUAUCAGAAAUAGAACAAAAAUUAAAAACUAUAAAUAGAAGAGAUAAUAAAAAUAAAUAAAUAAACAGGAACAAAGAAAAAACAGUGGAACAAAAUCUGACCAUAUGAUAACCAUUAACAUUCAUGGAAUCAAUCCUGUGAACAAAAGGACAAUAGGUAUGUAGACAUCAUCAAAGAGUUGACACCUCAUGAAAUACAUCUACUGAUAAUUAAGAAAAACACCACGGGUGUAAUAACAACUCCCAACAAGUUCCAUCUCGAAGUCGCUCAAACCAUCAAGAGCUACAAAAUAUAAUUACACAGGCUCAAGGGAACAGAAAAAUCAUCAUGUGCAAUAAAACAAGCUAAAAACUUCCUUAAAAAUAAACCUUACCAACAGAAGAUAAAGGAGACAACGCAUCUCCACGACCAACACGAGAAAAAUCAAUACCAAUCCAUGUUCCAUAGUGUUCAAGCCUAAUGGUCAUUAUAUCACGAGGACGAACACCAUAAUCACUGACCAAUCGUUCCCAGGAAGGACCAUGGAAUUUACUCCUCAACUGACCAUGACUAAACAAAACACCAUACAAAUAACCCUCAUUGCACUGAAAAGCAAGAUCAGUAUCUUCGUCACCCCUCCUUAUGGCUAAAGCCCUGCACUCCUCGAUGUAACGAGCAAGAUGAGCUCUAACACUGCACGGAACAUACUGCAGAACAAAUCAAAACAAGGAUCAUAAUCAAAACCUAGAUAGCAUGAGCAGCACCAAAAGAAAUAAACGUGUGUGCCAAAAAUUGAACAAUUAUAAAAUGGUAUUCUUACAACACGCCUCCAACAACGCCGAUCCAGGACCACACUGAACCCAUCUACAGAAGAAUCAACAGAAGAACACAGGCCACCAGGCAUACGGCAAAAAGGACAAGCCAUAACUGCAAGGAACACAAUGAUUAUCAAGAACUAAUCACACAAAACCCAGUUGAAACUUGACAUCUGAUAGUAUUGGUAGUCUCCACCCGUAACUACCCCAUAAAUCUCCAUAUCCCGGAAAUAUAAUGGGAACAAAAAGAGAAACAUUAAAGGGAAACAGGAAACCCACGAAGGCAACCAGUAGGGAACGGCGAUCACGCGAACGGGGAAGCGCGGUCGACGCUAAAGAAGGACCGCCGUAAAACCAGGCAACAAGCGCGGCGGCCGGGACAGGAGCCGCCAUAACCACGCGACAAGAGCGGCGGCCACGACGGACGAAGACGACGGCAAAGAAAGAACAGUCUCACAAGUGUCGCGCGCGGAGCGCCUCGAAAAUGUCUCCCGACCAUGACGGUUUGCCCACACCAGAGAGAAAACAGAUCUCAAAACAGAUCAAAAGGUUUUACAAAACAUUAAAAGUAUAAGAACUAAAGUGAAAAAAGAGAAAAACCGAAAAGGGAAACCAGAAACCGAAAAACACGGGAGACGCCGUGCGCGCGACAAGUGUCGCGCGCGGAGCGCCUCGGAAAAGUCUCCCGACCGCUCCGCGCGUGACACUUGGCGCGCGCGGAGCGCUCCCCGACUAAUCGUUGCGAGGAGCGCUCCUCAAUUAGUGAUUUCGAAAAAAGGUAUAUGCAGGCCGGCGCGGGCAAGCCCGUAUAAUCAACCUGUAAAAAAUCUCUAAAUAUACCAAACAGACUCAGAGCUAACUCUUUUUUUUUAUUGUCCUUUUCCUCGCGUUAAUCCAGCGAACAGGUGAACAAGGAAAAACGCGAGGCGAGCGCGGCGCGGGCGGAGGCCAGGACGGCCAGGGCGAGCGCGGCGCGCGCGGAGGCCAGGGCUGCCGGGACGGCGCGAACGGCGGCCGGAUCCAACGGCCGGCGCAUCGAGCUAGCUAGCUCGCUCCGUUGGAGAGCCACGGGCGAACGCGAUGGCCGGGACGGAAGGCCGGCCGGCUAUCGGAUGACGGCGGGUAAGUGCGGUGGCCGGGGCAGACGAGCGCAGCGGGCAGGCGGCCGGGCGCGGCGGCCGGACGAGCUUCAUGGCAUUCGCAGGAGCAAAGAUUCCUCAACCGGCAAUGUUGACCGAUAUGCAGGGUCUUGUCAAAGUUGUCUUUAAAACUAUAUAUAUGAGGGUUUCGCAUUCGCGUUUACUAGACUUCUUAAAAAAAAUUAUGGGUCGAACGAUUUUGCUGGGUCUGUUCGGGCUCGUUUUUUCGACUGAAACCGCAAAAAACGGUUAUUUUGCGAGUUUGACUAUUUAUACGGGGUCUGCUAGAGAUGCUCUUACUACCUCUAAAAUAGAUGGCUCAACUUUGUAUUAACUUUGAAUGGGAGGGAGUAGAUGUGAGGUACGAUGUAGUAACAUAGUCGGACCCAAACAUAAUUAUACUUCUAACAGCGCUGAGCAUCCGCUGAAUCCUCUGGAUUUGUUUCGAACGACCCGGCCUCCUAGCUUCAUAUCUUGAGAAUUUAUCGCUGAACAGCGGAAGAUUGCACACAUUGCCACUCAGCAUGAUACUUUUGUUACUACCACAAGAGAGGAGAGUGCACCAGUUCCAGAAUCCAGCGUUUAGCCGGAUCAUCAUCAUCAGUACAUAAAUAUGGCUAGAGCCGAAUAGAUUCCAUACAUGAAUGAAGAUACCUAUAUCUGCUCAAUCGUGUGCCCACAGAAGUGGCCGAGUGGGUAAGGUACGGCCAUCAGAAAUCCAAACCGUAGUUCAGUGCAAUUACAAGGGAUGAAACAACCAAUUACACGUGACACACCUCAGGUAAACUUCAACAGGAAAAGAAAAAUCCAAGGCUUGCUCACACCUCUACCGGUACCCUACAGGUCAUCUGGCGCCUUUUCAC
rnacentral:lncRNA from 1 species